rnacentral:lncRNA from 1 species
AGGGGCCAGGGGGUCUGGUUUUAUAGUCCCUUCAAGUGAAUCUGGGCCGUUGGAUCAAACCGACAUUGAUUGAACGGUUAUCCUUGAUCCUUUAGGUCGGUGGAGCUUAUCCCGAAAGAGAGUCCUGAUUGGACUCUAUGUGAGGGCGGGCGCCCAGGAGAGGAGGGUGGGCGCCCUGUCCCUGAGUCCUCUCGGCCUCCACUUCGGUCUCGUGGCUUCUGGAGUCUUCUAGAUGAUAGAAAAUUGUGCGGCAUGUUAAUAUCUCUAUGUAAACCUGACAUGUGGGCCUUUCUUCCGUAUUUCCUGAUAACCCCCUGCAGAAAUAGACAAACAUCAAAACUCAUGGAAUUCUAUCAGAUAAAACCCUAAGUCUAGGUGUUGGUUGCAUUUGGAUCCUUUUCCAUGGUUAAUCGAUGGUUAAAUGCGAGCAUUAAGGACCGUCAACAAGCUCCCCCAAGCUUAACCUUUGCUCGUCCCUGAGCAAAGAUGGACUCAAGAGUUUCUGCAGUGGUUUUAUGCCUUAAAGAUAUACAUGCGUUCAAACAAGAUCUCAUCUCUGGGUUUGGGUAAAUUGUUAAGAUUUAAACUUACUCGUUUGACCUUCCACCAUGGGGCUUGUAACCGUCACUUGUGUCUUGAGCAGUUAAAAGAUAGAACGGUCUAGUCAAGCGCCAUGUCUCUUGUUCUUCGAUUAACUAUAGCUCUGGAGUUUUUGCAGAUUUUGAAAUAAAACUCAGAGAUUCCUUGUAUGAUUCUCUCAAGUCUCCCUUUUGUGGUAUUUCUGGAUCCUUACCAAGGCAGUGAUGUAUGUCUUCUCUCAAAGUAUGUGGUAUUUGUGGUAUAAGGCAUAGUGGCAUUGCCUUCUCUCUCACCCUACUCUAAUAAGGCUUUUGAUAUCUGGAGCUCAUAGGUGGGAGAUAAAGUAUACAUACUUACAAGACAUUUAUUGCAUAGUCAAACCAUGGAUCCAGAAGAACAAGUAAAUAAGUCAAAUCAAGAUGUGCAUGUGUGGCUAAUGAAUGGUGUAUGGUGAUGAUGGUGAUAACAAUGGUGAAAGUCUAAUUCUACGUUUGCUCUUUUGAGGGGAUACAUACCUUUCUUGCACUUUGAAGCUUUUUGAGGAGAAUGAGAUGCUCUAUAUUUUCUUUUUUUUUUCUCUCAGGUGGGUAUCUUGUACCCCUAAUUCUACUGUCGGACACUUGUCCAUUUUGACCUCUCGUCUCACUUUUUCUUUUCUUUCGAGGUUCCGGGCACUUGCCCCUUUUUAUUUCCUCGUAUUCUUUCUUUUUUUUCUUUCUCUUUUUUUAGAGCACUCAUCUCCUGAAAUAAUAUAGCAAGUGGUAGUAACCAAGAUAACCUAAGCAUUUAUUUCACAGGGAAAAACAAAAAUAGGAGAAUGUUUUUGUCUAUUCUCUCCCGGAUUAGGGGUAGAAUAUUUUUGGGUGGUUCUGGAGAUGGAAAUGGGUAUAUGUGGAUGCGUACUUCCGGAGUAGAAGCACCAUGUAUGAGUGAACGUGCAAGUGAAUCUUGAUUUAACCACAUGACAAGCUCCUAAGGGUCUACACAGCUUGACCACACUCAAUGCUCAUAAGCAGUAAAAAGUAAAUGUGUGGCUCAAAGUCUAGCAAGCAUGUAUAUAUAGCUGUGGUAGGAAUUUAAACUCUCAUCAUACAGGAACUCAUCUUGCAACAUUUUAAAGGUUUUCAAAGAUAAAAUUCUCUAGAACUCUAGCAUCUCUAGGAACAUAUAAACAGCAACUCAACCUUCCCAUAUCGUAUCAGUUAACGACUUAGACUUUAGAUCAAGUACUCUUCCCACAAGUUCAGGUUUAGAGUAAAUCUUAAUUAAUACCAGUCAUGCCUAAACUUGAGAGAGAUUUCAAUUUUGAGAAUUAGUCAUGGCAGAGCAACUAUUCAUCAUUUCCAUGUGAGAGCUUAUCAUAAGGGUUCAUAGCAAACUUUAUUUAUUUCUUUAUUUAUUUAGCAAACUAAGCAAAGAUAUAUAUAAGCACAAAAUCUUUAUUUGGGUAUUUAUGAUUAUGCAUCUUUUUAUUAUUUGAGUAAAAUAUAAACGUGAGUAGAAUACUUAGCUGGAUAAAUGGGGGUGCUCUCCCCCAAGCUGGAUUUUGACGUAAUUUGUUCUGAUAUAGCUAGCAAGUGACGGAGGUGUAUUUGAAUGUUGGCAGCACCCUAACAGCGAUUAGGAUGUCCUCCGUCUGCUAGUCUUCUUUGAUCCUUGAAUUCUGUGGAGCUCAAAUAGACAACAAAGCUUUGUGGAACUAGUUAAGUGUUAGCAUAAAUAUCUAGCCUUUAUCAUGUUGAGCUUCCUCUAAUAAAUAUUACUCUCUUUACUAGGAUCAUAAAUUUAUUUUUAUAAUUUUAUUUUUAUAGGACAGGAAUAUAUUUAUUUUAUUUUUAUGCCACCACAGUGAAUGUACUUAUGGGUUUUAUGCCAUGAGCAUACUCACAUGGGGCUUACUAUUUUUAACAUUUUUAUUUUCUUUUCAAGAUGAUAUGAACCUGAUUAACUAAGCAAACUAUUUUAAAUAAUUGAAAGGAAAAAGAUAACUACCUCUUGGCAAGGCGUUCGGUGCUUUUAAGUCUUCCAAACGGGACUCCGUUUUCUCAGUCGUCCUGGGAUUCGCUGGAUGGCGUAGUCGGUGAUUCCGGCAGCGCCUCCUCUUCAUGUAUAACUAUCUUCUCUCUCCACACCUGACUCGGUGCUACGGUCUCCUCAGGACAGUUCUGUUCAAGUUGUAUGUCUUCAGACCUUACCACUUCUCCUUCAUAGUCCGCCCAUUCGUCCUUGAUAAUUUGCCUCCUCUGGUUGCGAUUGUGUCGUCUUCUUCUUGUCCUGACCUGCUCAGAGUCUUCAACUAUAUAGUUAGGGUCAGUAAAAUAGCGGCGUACCUUCUCGGAGGGGAAGUGCAUGUGGACUUCUCCGGUUUCAAUGUAGAUGAUUGCUUUAACGGUGCUGAGAAACGGUCUCCUAUGAAUUAUGGGUGGAUCGUACUUGUCUUCAACCUUUCGGAAUGUCUGAUCUGCCAUCUGGAGAUGAAUGUAUGUCGGUUUUAGGGGCAUGGAUCCGAAUAGGAGCUGAUAGGUGACUAGGUCGUCCUUUUUGGUCAGGAAUGGUGACUUAAGUUGAUGAUCUUGACCUCCAUGAACUGCAGUGACCAUCUUAGCUGACUCGGUCCACAUUUGCUUGUUCCUGUUCCUCCUGUUGGUCCUCUUCCUUAGUUUAUGUCGGGAAUGCUCUGAGAUUUAUGUAGUCUUGUUCUUGAAGGAAAACGUCUCCUUCCUCCCCUUGAUGUAGAAACUGAUAUUGGCAGCACUAGCGUAGAUGAUAGCUCCCGAAGUGUUUAGGAAUGGCCUCCCUAGAAUGAUGGGUGCGCUCUCAUCUAUACCAGUCUCUAUCACCAUGAAGUCUGCUGCGGCUUACAAGGUACCAACUCGGACGCAGAGGUUCUUCAAUAUUCCCUUUGGGAAACUUAGCGUACGAUCUGCAAGCUGCAAACACAUGGCUAUUUCUAAUAAAGGACGUGUAAAGAAUUUUUCAUAGAGUACCCUGGGCAUAAUGUUGACGCUGGAGCCAAAGUCGCAGAGUGCUUCUAGGAAGUUCACCAUGCCGAUGGAGAUCGGGAUGACGGGGCGUCCUGGAUUGUCUCUCUUGACCGGCAGAAGGUCAGUAAUUACUUCCACAACGGGGUUACUCCAGUAGUACGUCCUCAAGCAUCCUAGGGCAGUGAUUGCCUGAGUGUCCAGUAUCUCCAGUUUGUUUGUGCUCGUAGAUCUAGGUUCUUCACUAGGUGGAGUCUGGGAGUUGUAAAAGUCCUUCAUAUUUUGCUCGAAGUGUACCUGCUCAUAAAGACAAGGCAGAGAUCAAGUGCAUGGGCCCUGUUGGUGGAAAACACCAACAGAACCAAAAGUGUAUUUGUUCUUCUCUAACCUUAAGCAUAGUGAGCAAGACAAAGUUGAUGGAUAAUGAGUGUAGCAUUUAAAACAUUUGUCAGAUCAGAUCACUCAACCUUAUGGAAAGAUAAUCUAUCUAAGUAAAUGUUUUUUUCUUUACAUGACUAUCAUUUUCCAAAGAUUGAGUGUGCAACAUUUUAGUUCAUAUGAUUAGGAGUGUGAGAUCACAAAGGUGGAAGGACUAAACAUGUUGAAUCGAUUGGGUUGGUUAAUCUAGAGUUAUAAAUCAUACAUGUUUGUCUCUUUUAUUCAUGUGAACGUCAGAACCAAGGAGAAGCUUAUAAAAGUGAUAGUCAAGUACUUUAAGAUGUUACCUUACUUGAAGAGUGAUGGUACAAUAUCACCUUGUGGAAGCUUCCCUUUCUUAGCGGUUGUGCAUCGUGUUUGUGGCACCCUCCAUGGAUCAUCUCUUGUGAGCUAUGCAUUCCUUGUGUAAAUUGUUAACCUUCAUGUGUCUCUCUCUUUGUCUCCAAUGUGAGUUUAUCUCAGGACUUCCCAGGUCGAUAUUGAAAGUUUUCCUGUAGGGGUUAGUCCAACAAAAUAUCCAAUAUUUACUAUAGCAUACUAUCAGCUCAAAGAUCAACCUAGACACCAUGUCUAGUUUGAUUUAGGAGGGCAUUUUAACCUAAGCAUCAUGCUUAAUUUAAACUCCCUUGGAAGUAAGAUCACCAGCCCUAAACUAAGCACCAUGCUUAAUUAAGAGAUAAAUGAAACUACUCCAAACCUAGACAUAUACUAAAGCAAAUAAAGGUAGCAUGAGAGCAUUUAUAGAGUUCUACUCAAGUGGAGAUGAAGUAGUGUGAUUAGUAUUUAACAAAUUGAGCAUGUCUCAAAGGUAGGGACAACCAACAUAGCAACAUGGCAAAUGAUGUUUUUAUGUAAAGUACUUACCCAAGCUUGAAUUUUGCAAAAUUCAAGUUUGGAUGAAUUUAAUUAAAUGUUGUAUGAUGAUUGGUUGGACAUACCUUGUGCUUGUCAUUCAUCCGAUCUUCUUGUCCAAUCCUAGAAAGGUUAGUGACAAGAAUACCUGAAGGAAUAGUUUUACAAUUAUCCUUAUAUGCUCAAUACACAAGGCAAUGUUGCAAAUAAUUAACAACUCUUGUUACGAUCUGAUCAGUGCUUGUCUUAGGACACUAAGCUUGUCCUUAGGAAACCAUCAAUUUAUGUCGGCGAAGUGGUUUCCCCUGCAACGCUGACCUAUAUCAAGAUCAACUCAAUGAGAUCUGCAAUAUUUAAUAUAGACAUAUGCAUCGACAACCGCCCUUUUAAAGUUUUUAUAAAUAGAAAGGAAGUGGGGGUUGGAGAUCUCGAAUGUGGUGAUGUUGGAGAGACCAAUGGAUUGUGAAGAUGUUGCAUAUGAGCAUGGAGUAAAUGAAGUGGCUAUGAAAUAAAUUCCAUGCUCAUUAAUGCUUAGAGUGAAAUCCAUGUGGUGUGGUGAAAAUGGUAAGGUGAGUGUGGUAAAAAAAGGGAAAAGAAAAAGGAUACAGACUAGAGCACUUGAUGCAAGCGGGAAUCCAAUAAAUAACUUGAAUGUAAAUUGAAAGGAUAAGAUGCCCAAGAGGGGGGGGUGAAUUGGGCUUCUCUAAAUAUUUAAGCAACAUAUAAGCUCCAAUUCAACCCCUUGUGCCUAGUGUGACCUAGAGAGCUACCGAAUAAAAGUUUUGCAACCUAGUUCCAAUCCUAUUCUAGCAUGGCAAUUCUAAGAAUGUAAAAGCACAAAGUAAAUGCUAGAAUGUAAAGGAGUAGUGGAAGAAAAUGCUCGGCGAUGUUUUGCUGAGGUAUCAGAGAGUCGCCACUCUCCACUAGUUCUCGUUGGAGCACCCACGCAAGGGCCUUGCUCCCCCAUUGGUCCACGCAAGGACCAAGUGCUCUCUACGGGCUGAUUCUUCGACACUCCGUCGCGGUGAAUCGCCCAAAACCGCUCACAAGCUUGACACGAGCCACCCACAAGAACUCCGGGCGGUCUUCGUGCCUCUAAUCACCACCGAACCAUCUAGGUGAUGGCGAUCACCAAGAGUAACAAGCAAAGAACUCUCACUUGACCCAAACAAGGCUCUAGAGAGUGGUGGAUGCACACUUAACACUUGGAAUUCACUAGAGAAGGAUUCUCUCAAGAAACCACUCAAAUCUCAAUCCUCUCUAGGCUCUUGCUACUCUCUUGCUCCACAACAAGUUUCUCUGAUGUUCAAAUGGGCAAGAGACCUCUCAUGGACGAGGUGGAGCAGUAUAAAUACUACCCACGAAGUCCAAAGGUCAGCCAACCAUUUUCCACUGAAAACGGGGUCACCGGACGCUCUUUAUGUUGCACCGGACGCAUUGCACUGAGCGUCCGGUGCUCCAUAACGGCUAACUGUACUUGCUUCUGACAGUUCUCCGGAUGCUAACUUUCAGCGUCCGGUGCACCGUCCGGUGCUCGGGGAAGAUUUACAUGCUCCCUGCGCAUGGGACCGGACGCUACCCGGCGCGUCCGGUGCUAGCGUCUGGUGCUCAUGGCAGGUUUGCAACCUCCCUGGGUAUGGGACCGGACGCUGCCCGGUGAGUCCGGUGCCAGCGUCCGGUGCCUAACCCUAAGCACGGCACUGUUCCAAUGGCUAAGGACCUCGCCGGACGCACUCACAGAGCGUCCGUUGCAGCGUUCGGUGCCCCCUUGGGCACCCUAACUUCGUCGAAACGCGAUCACUCCAAAACGAAGUUUGUUCCUCUCGAUCCAAGGACUAUCUCUGAGCUGCCUAGUGCUAGGUUUACCAAGUGUGCACCACACCUAAACCUAAAGCCUUGCCUAAGUCAAGCUACUAGAUCUAAGCCCCUCUUAAUAGUACGGUCAAUGGAAAACAAAGUCCUAAACUACUCUAAGUGCCCUUCUUCACCAUAUGGCACUUAGACCUAGUCUAGUCUUGACGAUGUCCAUCCAUCCUUCAAAAACUGAAAACGAUUUCCACUAUUAAGUAGGCAUGUACGUCCCUGUCCAUCGAGUACCUAUUUACCAUGACCUUACCUAUGACUUUGCCUCUGCAAAACACACGUUAGUCAUAGUAAUCAACAAUGUCAUUAAUCACCAAAAUCACUAGGGGCCUAGAAGCUCUUUCAAUCUCCCCCUUUUUGGUGAUUGAUGACAACCUCGAGUAUGAAAAGAGUUGAGUUUUCAAAUGACUUGGUUUCAAUAAGCAUGAUACAAUAAGAACAAAAGGAUUAGACAUGCUUAUAUCAACCAAGUCCAACAUCCUACAUCCAAAUAUGUGAGUUGAAUACAACAGGAUAUAAACACAAGGCUCAUAAGUACAUCGGAGUAAAAAUGUGGAAGAAAAGGUAAUAUGAGCCAAAGCACAUGACAUUAAGAUAUUACAAUUAAGCACAAGUCAUGUCUCACAACCAUAGUGUAUCUCACACAAAUGCAAUGCAUAAAGAUAAACGUGAUGCAUGAUAGAGUAGCACACAUAAAAGUAUCUCAAAAGAAUAAAAAACCCCUCUCUAGCUCUCUAGCUCCCCCUAACUCCUAACUCUCAUACUCAUACUCUCUCUCCCCCUUUGGCAUCAAGCGCCAAAAACCUAAGAAGUCGGUGGAGGAGGCGAAGCAGUGGAGUCCCUCGGCACGGCCUCAAAGCGAGCUGCAUCGUCUAAACCAUCGGCCGUCGAGGCGGAGGAAGUAGAGUGACCCUCUGAAGCUGCACGAGCUGGCGAAGCAGUCUGGGUCGGCUCUGUAGGGGCAGGAGUUGUGACUGGCUGUGCAGGCUGCUCGAGUCCUGUUGACGAAGCUGGCAUGGACUCGGUCGCUGUAGCUGAAGUCUCUGGCACUGUAGACGAAGGUGCUAGCUGCUCAAACGACGCUACGGACGACGACAGACGCUCAGUAGUGGUGACUGGUGCCGUAAAAGGUGCAGGAGCCUGCAGAGGUGGAGGCGUAGGGUCACCAGUCAGAGCACUGUAGGAGAAGCUGAGGUGUGGGUCUGUCGACGAGUCCAACACGAGCUGUGGCGCUGACGCUGACUGCGGAGUGAAACCAGAGCGGAGAGGUGUAAACUGAGGUACCUGCUCAAAGCCAGAGGAGAUAGCACCCUAGGAGACCUGGUGCUGAGGCAUCGAGAACGGCUGACUCUGAGCGGGUAGCUAGAGAAGCUGCUGAGACUGACUCUGAGUCGGAGGCGCUGGAGUGGGUGGCCUGACAGUCGAAGUGCCUGGGAGCUGAAUCUGCGGAAUCUGAAUCCCUGAGGCGGCCAUGAGAGCGGCCAUCAUCGCUGUCUGCUGGGCCUGGAACGCAAGCUGCUGCUCCUGAAAGGUGAGAAGCUCUCGCUGGAGCUCAUCCUGCCUGGCCUGCAUGGCUGCAUUGAUGGCAGCCUGGUCCCUGUCUCUCCUCGCCUGCUCCUCAGCUGCGCGGCGCUGAUCUGCUCUCGUCCCCUCUAGAAUGGCAAGCAGAGCGGGGUCUGAAGCACUCGAGGAGCCUCCUGUAACACCCCAGGUGUUUGUCACUUGCUAAGUACUAGGUUUGAGCUCAAACAUGACAAGUUCAAUGGUAAUAAAGAGGUCAAAGUCAAUCUAUGAAAGUAAACCCCAACUUGGGCUUGGUGGAUGCAACCUUGGUUGCAUAUAUGCCUUUUUAAAAGGUAUGCUUUGAUGAUGCUAAUGGAACCUUUUCCAUGUGUCUUAUAUCCAUCCCAAUCUAUGUUGGUCUCUCGAAAAGUUUGGUGAAGUUUGGAAUCAAGAAGUCACAUGAAAUGAUAAGUUAUAUCCUUGUUGGAAUGACUCUAUUAAGGAAAUGGAUUCAUGGGUCACCAACCAAACCUUGCAAACUUACUCAUAUGACUCUAGAUGAAUUAUACAACAAAAGUCAUGAAGGGUUCAUGUUGAGCUUAUGUCAAGAAAAUGCUUCAAUUGGUCUAAAAUCCUAUUUGGAGCUUUAUCAGGAUACUGCAUUGACCAAAGUGAAAGUUUGACUUCGGUUGCAGUUAUGAGGUUUGACCCUAAAUGAAAGUUGUGGUUUUGCUUCUGUAGAAGAAACUUUAUUCAAAGGUCAAGAACCAAAUCAGCCUGCAAACAGUUCAAACAGAGGCUCGAAGUUCGAAUCAGCUGCUGUUUUUCAGCCCUGAGAAAUAGUUCUAAGUCCCUAGAAGGACAGCAGUGAGUUAGCUUCUUCGUGACGUUUUAUUAUGCAAAUUCAUAUGGUAACUCAAUUAGAUUCCUUAAUAUGAGUUGGACUACUCUUCUUGAUGAAAGCAAUGGAUCAAGUAUCAUCAAAUUUGGAGUUCAUUUGGAUGUUCAAAAAUAGCUCCCAAAACAGCAAAAGAUUAAUUUAUCGCUAAACGGACGUCGACCCGUUGGCAUGCCGCGUUCUCGUGUUUUUGUUAAGCAACUCAAGUUGGUCCAAAAGUAAAAGUUGUGGAUAAUUGUUUGGAGAAGGUUAUGUAAAAAGUUGCAUCAAGUUUGACAUGGUUUGGACCAUCAAUUCUUGGUUUUGCUAAUCACCGUCAAUACGUUGACACUCGUGAAUUGGCAUUAAGUUAUCUCUUAAUCUGUUAGUCUAAUGAUCUUGGUCACUUAAUCAAAGUUGGAGAGCAGGCCGAGGUGAGCAAACUUCGUUUCUGGCCCAAGGUCCAAUUCAGCCCGGAAAAGGCCCAAAAUCGCCUCCCACGCCGGCCACUUCGCUGCGCGCCACGUGCUCGGCGAAAUGUGUCAAAGGGAAACGCGUGUCCUGGGCGUGUCCACCAUGCACAGCGCCCCCACCUCCAUUUGAUGAACCCCUGCUGCCCUCUUGCGGUCUGUGAAGCCAGAGAGCGCUCCCCACCCUUCUGUUGUGGACGCCCAGCUCCCUCAUCCGCUCCCUUGCCUCUCUCCUCGCUCUGGUGCCGCUGUCCGCCAUGGACAUCAAGCGGAGCUUCAUGGCCUCCAUGGCUAGGCCGUCCACGAGUGGCUCGGGCCAAGCUGCGUGGUGUGGAGGAUGCGGGCAAGCCUCCUGGUGCUUUCCCACUCCUCCAUCGUCGCCGAGACUCAGGGUUCCAGAUGCGAAGCCAAGACUCGUAUGAAUAGUGUUUGUGGUCUGUUGCGUGAUUCGUGGAAAGUCCAGGGUCCCCGGUGAAAGAUCUGUUUUCCUUUUUCCUUUGUUUUUACAGAUUUCAUGGAUGAACUUUGUAAAUGCAUAGAAAUUCGUAGAAAAGUCGUAAAAUAGCAAAUGUGGACUUUUUGGAAUCCUUGUGAAAUUCUCUAUGCAGUAGAUCUAUAAUAUGGCAUGGUUUAGUUUGAAGUUUUAGUCGUAAAAAUAGAUUUAUGCAGUUAGGUUUUAACUGCUUGUUAUAUUUGUCUUUUUCAUAACUGCUGUGUUGUUGCCCAAAUAAAUGUGAAAAUAUUGUGACAUGUUUUUCAUAUGGUAUUUGAUGACUGGUAAAAGUUUCAUGAAUUUAGGAACAAUAUAUUAAGAGUUACAAAAAUAACAAGUACCCUGUGUUCCUUUGCUCCUAUUCUGAGUGGAUCUGCAUGUUUGUAUUGUUUGGCUCAGUUCAGUUGUGAAUCAUGCCUUAAUGAAAAUAUAUAAGUUUUAGUACUUUUCAUGAGCUUUCCAAAAAGAUAAAUAGCACAAUUUUUGGUUGAGCACAUGUUGAGUUAUAGUGGUUUAAAUUACUGUUCCAGUUUCUGUCUAAACCCAGACAGAAUUGCAUUGUUUGUAAUGUAAGACCUUGUUAGUGGUAUAUUUAGCUCUAGAUGUUUAUAACAAAGUUGUUCACAAUUUCGUAAGCUUUCUAGAAUGUACACAAUCAUAAAUUAUGGACAUAUGAACUUCAAGUUAUAGCUGUUUAAUGUAGCAUGGCAGAUUCUGUCUAUGUUUUGGACAGAGAUGCCUUCAUGGGAUUAAUUGACCUUGAUAACUGUGGAAUCAUAUUUAGAUGAUAAUAAGAAAGUUGUAGGCAACUUUAUAAUCUUUUCACAAAUAUAAGAAUUAUGUUUGCUGGAGGUCUACAACUCCAGUUAUGCUGCUUUGAAUUGUCUAUCAGUUUUCUGUUUGUAAAUGUACCUCUACUGUUUGGACAGCAUGAGCAGUUUUAUUUAUGCAACUAAUUCCAUGAUAUAAAUGAUGUUUGCUGUGAAACUUGUAUAUAGAAAAGAUGUAGAUAAUUUACUAGUAUAUAUUGUGGUAAAGUUUCAUAUCAUUUGGCUAAGUGGUUUAUGAGUUACAGUAGUAUGAAGUUCAUCCUUUGAAAUGCUUGUUCUCUGGAAAUUCCGGGACCAGAUUCUAUGGUUAUGCAUGUUUGACUUGGUUAACUUGUUAAUCAUACUGAGAUGAUUAAAUAUGAAUUGUAGAUAAUUUUAUAUUCUUUCCAGAAUGUCCUAUUGCAUAGUUUUUGGAGUUGUGUAACUCCAGUUGUGAUUUAAUUACUGAGUUGUUGCAUGUAUGUCCAGAAUUGCUGAAAUACAUGAAUGCUUGAUUGCUUUACUUUGUGUGAUCUAAGUAUGAUUCAUGUCUUUAAUGGUGAUUUAAGUAAUACACUUGUAAACUUGUUAAACUUGUGUCAUGAUUGAUUUGUUUGCUCUAUAUAAUUGGUUGUGUGAUGUUAGCUAAAUAACUUUAGAUGCUUGUGUCUUGCAUACUUUUAUGUGAUGCAUGUUGUGUUAUUAUUCUUUAUAUUCAUGCACUUGCAUCUUGCAUCUCAUCUAGGUACGCUAGAUGACUCACGUGAAGGUCUUGGUGUGGGAACAAACCCGAAGACGGUGUUGGGCGGACCCAUCCUGAAGGUGGAAGGACUAAACAAGUGUUGUGACCUAAGAUGUCACCAAGAUGGAGCCACUAACUGAACUGACUCAGUGUUGAUCCCAGGCAAGCCCCGGAGCAUUAUAAGUCUCCCACUACUUUUGAAUGCAGUUGAGAAUAUAUGUUAUAUAUGUAUUGUUGCAUUAAGUAUAGGAGUUGGGUGAAACCCUUGCUGCAUAUAACACUCCUUGUCCAGCAAAUAUACCUAUAACCCUAUGUAGAUUCAGGAUCGAAUCUAAAUGCUUAGCUAUGCUUAGACCGGUAGAAGCCAGGUGAUGUCCCGUCACCUGAGCGAGAUAGGUGGACACCUGAAAAGAUUGGCUAUAUAUGCUAUCAUGGAAAUAACCAAGUGAUGAGGAUGAAUAAUUGGAGACCGGGCGGGACGAUGAUAGAGAAGCAACAAGGCAUGGAGGUCUUGGGUGCCUACCUAUCCCCGCCUGUGUCGAUUAAGGACCGAUCGUUGACGGCCCUCUUGUCAUGUUGAACCCAUGCCCCACACUUAGCUGGAAGGAUAAGUCGUUCCGACCGCGAAGCCUGAACACUAUCCGGGCCGGGAGUCGAGCCGCCAUGCGCUGUAUUGGUGAUGGUUGAGGAGAACGACGAGGGCGCGGCGUGCAACCUUGGUAUACCUUGGAUACCUCGGUCGCCGGAACGGUCCUCGGGUACUGGCGGUGCCUGCCGAACCCGCGAAUUGGUCCUGGAUAGUGUAAUACGGUGACCUGUAGUUCACUUGAUCAGUGAGUGUGGUUUGUGUGGGGAAUAACUCGCCAGCUGGUCAGAAAUCGAUUCGAAUCGCCAUCGCUCCUGGAUAGUGAGCACUUGACUUGAGCCCCGUCCUCGUAGUAAUGUUUAUGGAACACUUGGAUGGUUAUGGUAUGAUGAUGAUGUGGGAAAUGCCACAUCAAAUAUGGGUACUACUGUUGUAUCUUAAUCAAGUGAUUGCUUUAGUACAGGUGCUAAUCUAGAUGAUAGGUUAAUGAUUAUUAACUUGAGCUAAAUACCUGAAAGGAUUACUUAGUUGCAACUUAAGCUUUUUAUGCAAAAAGUGUUGUCAAGCUAGCUCCACCAAUAAAGCCUUGGAUACUCCUUGGUGUCAUCUUAUUUCUGGUUUAUGACGGGUAAGUCUAGCUGAGUACCUUCUCGUACUCAGGGUUUAUUCCCACUUGUUGCAGGUUGUGAUGUAUCAUGGCUACUGCAAGAGUUGGAUGACUCCUAUCAUAGUGGAGGAGUAAGAUCAUGGGCAUGAUCCUUCUUAGUUACCUCAUCUAUGUUGCUUUUGUUGGAGUUGACCUGGAUACUGGCAUGUAUUUGAAAUAAGGGCAAUAUUAGUUUCAAAUUACUUUGCUUCCGCUACUUUUCAACUCAAGUUGUAAUAACUAUCUUGAACUCUGAUGUAUAUCAAACUACUUGUGAAAUGGAUGUAACAUGUGACUUGUUAUGUUGAAUCACUACGAUCUUGGCUUGUAAGAUGGUUGGUUUGAAAUCCCUCGUGAUUUCACGGACUACCGGGUUUAUGAGAGUUCGAUUACGUUAAAGCAACUGCUUUGGCGGGAGUUUUUCGUAGUUGAUCUCUUGUAAAUUGGGCGGUUCUGUUACAGCUCCUGCCUCGUGGUCGUGUGCUCUAGGGGGGAAGUCUAUCACUGGAGGCUAAUAGUCAUCAUCUGAGCUGUCGAAAGCAAAGUCAAACUCCCCCUCAGCCUCAGCAUCUGCAAAAGCCCCAAUGACUAUAUCCUGCUGCUCCUCUGUCUCUGAUACUGCUGCUGUACUGCGAGUGCCCCUAGGAGAAGGUGGGGGCACCGGUCCACGGGGUGCACGAGGAGGUGGAGUAGCUCGGAGGUCGUGGUGUGCUCGCAGCAUCUGCCUGGGGUCGUAGUGGGGAAAGACGGUGUCUGACUCUGUCAACUCCCUCUGCAAGUGAGCUGGCAGGGGCACGGGCCUAGCACGAAGAAUAGGCAAGGUGAUCCAAUGUGCGUAUGGCAGCUGACGCCGUCCCCUGAAGCUCUCUGAGAUAGUGUCUUCAAUCUCUAAGACUAUCAAAUCCCACAAGUCAAACUGAGUCUGUGAGAUGAGGUGAGCAACCAGCCACUGCUGAAUCCGAGUGAAUCCAUCCCUGUAGCCUGUCCUGGGGAGAAGAGUCUUCCUCAACACAAAGUCGAGGAUCCUAGCUGGGCGUGUCAAAUCUCCCACUGUCCUGCUGGAGCCCUCUCCAAAAGGUGGAUGGAAACAAGGAGCCACGAAGUCUACCGGUGGUAUCUCACCACCGUGAGGACGUCGGGGAGGCUCGAAGUUCCCGUAGCAAAGCUGGUGAAUCCUGGUAGAGUAAGCUCGUAGCCCAAGUACCUCUCGGGCCCUCUAAGCUGUCACUCUGUAAUCCGUGCCUGCCAGUGCGUAGUGGAUAUAGUUGUGGUCUGGAGACACCCACACUGACGCGUAGAACUCUCGAACCCACUGCUCACAGUAAGUACCAGGGAGAGCUAGCAACUCUGGGAGGCCGUGGAGGUAGGUGAAGUACUGACGAAUAUCUGCCCCAACCACGUUCCUGAGUAUCUCAAGGUCAAUAACUCGGUGCUCCCUGAACUGAGACUGAGAGCGAACCAGUGCCUCGUAGAUGUCCUCCUGGACGACUGUGUAGAACCUGGCACCGGCUCUGGGGUCCCUAGCAGCUGGGAACCAAAUAGGAAAAGGAACGAAACGCAGCUGCUGGAUCUCUCUGGCUGACACAAGGGUGAGAUCCCUGUGAAUCCUGACUGGUCUUUGACGAGAAGCUGGUGUGCCUCUGGCUGGAGUAGCACGAGCAGCGGAGGUAGACUUACCCGGCGUACCAGUACGAAGAGUGGCCUGGGUACGUGCGCGAGUCGACCUCCUGAGGGGCUGCUCCUGUACCUCUGCUGGACCCUCUGCCUGGGCCUCUGUCUCUAUGUCAGUGUCUGGAUCCUCCUGAGCUGGCUCUCUGACAUUGAUCCUGACACGCUACCCUCCUAGCAUAAUAGUGCCUAGAGGUGAUCCAUGUCGAGCCUCGGCCUCAAGAACUGCACGCCUCUGACAUGGCGUGAGAUCGGCCCCAAUCCUCAAAGCACCUGACCGUCCUCCCCUCUCAGCUGCCUCUGCUGCUGCUGCAACUGCCUCUGCCACCUCUGCCUCUCUGUCGCUGGCCUUGCGCUUCUUGGUGGCCAACUUCUUGCCCUUGCCCUUCUCUGCCGCUGACAGGCGACGGGGAGGAUCACCUCCACCAUCACCUCCUGGGGAACCUCCAGCGCUGGCUGCUGAACCACUGACGUUCUUGCAACGUGCCAUCACAAGAACGACUGCCUGAAUGAACUGCCGAUAAGGAGCCAACUGACAAUGGAGAUCAAUAGUUGCUCUGCCAUGACUAGUUCUCAAAAUUGAAAUCUCUCUCAAGUUUAGGCAUGACUGUUAUUAAUUAAGAUUUGCUCUAAACCUAAACUUGUGGGAAGAGUACUUGAUCUGAAGUCUAAGUCGUUAACGGAUAUGAUAUGGGAAGGUUGAGCUGUUGUUUAUCUGUUCCUAGAGAUGCUAGAAUUCUGAAGAAUUUUAUCUUUGAAAAUCUUUAAAAUGUUGCAAGAUGAGUUCCUGUAUGAUGAGAGUUUAAAUUCCUACCACAGCCAUAUAUACAUGCUUGUUAGACUAUGAACCACACAUUUACUUUUUACUGCUUAUGAGCAUUGAGUGUGGUCAAGCUGUGUAGACCCUUAGGAGCUUGUCAUGUGGUUAAAAUCAAGAUUCACUUGCACGUUCACUCACACAUGCUACUUCUACUCUGGAAGUACCAUCCACAUAUAUCCACCCAUUUCCAUCUCCAGAACCACCCAAAAAUAUUCUACUCCUAAUCCGGGAGAGAAUAACCAAAAAUAUUUCUGCUUUUCCCCUGUGAAAUAAAUGCUCAAGUUGUCUUGUUACUACCACUUGCUAUAUUAUCUCAUGAGAUGAGUGCUCUAAAAAAAAGAAAAAAAAGAAGAAAAGAAAAAAAAGUAUACGAGGAAAUAAAAAGGGGCAAGUGCCCGAAACCUCGAAAGAAAGAAAAAGUGAGACGAGAGGUAAAAAUGGACAAGUGUCUGACAGUAGAAUUAGGGGUACAAGAUACCCACCUGAGAGAAAAGAAAAAUAAAAUAUAGAGCAUCUCAUUCUCCUCAAAAAGUUUCAAAAGAGCAAGAAAGGUAUGUAUCCCCUCAAAAGAGCAUAAGUAGAAUUAGACUUUCACCAUUGUGGGGCAAGUGCCCGGAACCUCGAAGAAAAAGAAAAAAGUGAGACGAGAGGUAAAAAUGGACAAGUGUCCGACAAUAGAAUUAGGGGUACAAGAUACCCACCUGAGAGGAAAGAAAAAGAAAAUAUAGAGCAUCUCAUUCUCCCCAAAAAGCUUCAAAAUGCAAGAAAGGUAUGUAUCCCCUCAAAAGAGCAAAAGUAGAAUUAGACUUUCACCAUUAUUAUCACCAUCAUCACCAUACACCAUUCAUUCGCCACACAUGCACAUCUUGAUUUGACUUAUUGACUUGUUCCUCUGGAUCCAUGGUUUGACUAUGCAAUAAAUGUCUUGUAAGUAUGUAUUAGCUGUCUCCCACCUAUGAGCUCCACAUAUCAAACCUUAUUAGAGUAGGGUGAGAGAGAAGGUAAUAUCACUAUGCAUUAUACCAAAAAUACCACAUACUUUGAGAGAAGACAUAUACCAUUACUGCCUUGGUAAGGAUCCAGAAAUACCACAAAAGAGAGAUUUGAGGGAGUCAUAUAAGGAAUCUCUGAGUUUUAUUUGAAAAUCUGCAAAAACUCUAGAGCUAUAGCUCAUCAAAGAACAAGAGACAUGGCGCUUGACUUGACCGUUCUAUCUUUUAACUGCUCAAGACACAAGUGACGGUUACAAGCCCCAUGGUGAAAGGUAAAAUGAGUAAGUUUUAAGUCUUAAUGUUUUAUUCUAACUCAGAGAUGAGACCUUGCUUGAAUGCGUGUGUACUUUUAAGGCAUGAAACCACUGCAGAAACUCUUGAGUUCAUCCUUGCUCAGGGACGAGCAAGAGGUAAGCUUGGGGGAGUUUGUUGACGGUCCUUAAGUAUCAAAUUUAAUUAUCAAAUAAACAAAGAAAAGGAUCCAAAUGAAAUCAACAUCUAGACUUAGGGUUUUAUCUGACAGAAUUCCACGAGUUUUGGUGUUUGUCUAUUUCUGCAGGGGCUUAUCAGGAAAUAAGGAAGAAAGGCCCACAUGUCAGGAUUACAUAGAGAUAUCAACGCACCGCACAAUUUUCAAUCAUCUAGAAGACUCCAGAAGCCACGAGACCGAAGCGGAGGCGAAACGGGGCCAGGACCUGUGCGCCCGCCCACCUGCCGAGCCCAAUCAGGACUCUUUCUCUCGGGAGAUCUCCACCGACCUAUGGGAUCCAGAAUAACAUAGUACCACAUUGCCUACCGACCCAAAAACGCAUAGAAGGGGAGGACUAUAUAAGGAGACCCCCCUGGCCCCUGGAGAAGACAAGAAAUUAUCAUAGAGAUUGAGGGGUGCCCUCGAAGGAAAACCUCUUCUCUAAAUAAUAUUUCUUUUUAGGCUUAGCAACCAAUGUAAAGUAGAAAUAGAUCUUCUAGUUUCUACUAGAUUGAGAGAUAUAGAGUGGAGGUGUGGAUCGGAGGAAGGCCGGCCUGUCGGUGUCUACUCCGAGUUGUACCUACGGGAUCAAGUCUCCUAACCCGAGGCUUGCUUCUAAGAUUCUUCAGUAAUUCGACUUCUAAUUCUAGUAAGUUCUUGUUUUAUUGUUCUUUGCUUUAUGAGUUUACUUUAUCCUCUUCCGGUUGAGUAUUAGAGUAAUCACUUGCUAGCGUAAACGUGGUGUUUAGGCUAGGGUACUCAUAGAUAUCCCCUGACUAGCUGGACCGUGGUAGUAGCGAGGAACGUGACAUUUCCGAGUUACCUUUGUAUCCCAUAUCUUGUUAGCAGGACGGGUAGGGUUAUAGGUGCGGGUCGAACAUCCUUUGUGUUGUCUAGAUUCCGUGAGCCUCCCCAAUAGAACAGUAGAUCAUCCUUACCAAGGUUAGAACGAGACUACGGUUGCAGUCUUCUCUAUACAUCGCUCACGUCGAGAAACAUUCUUUGUAGCCUAAAGGGGUAGUAGCAAUAGAUUUGGUUAGUCAGAUGCACCCUUUCUCCCAGUGGUAAAAAUAUAAAUACGAUAACUCUCGAUAACCUCCCGGGUGAAAUGCUCACCGAUAUCCGUGCGCUUGCGGAUCAUUUCCUGAUUGCGUUACCAAAUAUCAACACGCAUUUCUGGCGCCGUUGCCGGGGAGAAAGACAGUUUGCUGAGAUAACUUUGAGUCUUGCUAUUAUCUUGUAUUAUACUUUUAUACUUUUAUUCUUUUAUCUUUUUAUCUUUAUGGAUAACUUAAAUUCCAUACCUAUUAUUGAAUUCUUUGCACCUUCGGAGACCAGCCAUAGACCAUGGGAGUCAACACGUCCUACCCCUAAUUAUGAUCUGUGUCCGGAGUUGAUUGCAAUAGGUCAAAACCAACCCUUUUCUAUAGCUAAGGUCCUAUCUUUUAAUCAAGAAGAUAAUGCACUUUUAGCUACACCUAGGGAAUCUGUUAAUCUUUCUAUAAAUUCUGGUUUAGACCUAGCCCUACAAGACCAUGUUUUUCCUAGAUAUUUUCACAUUGGUCUUAAUCAUAUAACCUUUGGUAGAGUCUUUCUUUCUUUCUUUAUCUAUUAGUAAAGGAAUGUAUGUCUUCAUUUGUGGACAUCCUUCUUGCACUAGUCUUCACAAAAAUAUCCUAGAGAUAGAGAAGGAAUCAUCUCCCAGACGAGGAAAGGAAGUUUCAAUAGCCAAUUUCCCAAUAUUUCAAUCCCAUAAUUCGGCUAUGCAACCCAUCCUUGAGCUUAAUAAUUUCUACUAUGCUCUUUCUCUUGAACCUCUCGAUAAUCCUAUGAAUCAUUCUAGACAUCCCAUGCAUAAGAAGGAGGAUCGAGAAGAGCAACAUCGAUGGCUAGAGGGCAUUAAAAAUCCAUGUGCUAUCACCAUUGAAUGGAUAGAUAAAACAAACUUGAGAGACAAUCCUAGAGGAAUUUUAAGCAUUCAUGAAGAAUCAUCCUUGGAGUUUGAGAAUGAGAGAAACAACAGUGAGCAUGGAAGCUAUUUCAUAAAUACCUCACCCAGUCCUUGCUCAUAUAAAACAUCUCUCCAAUCAAUUUGUCUCUCCAUCCUUACCACAUUUGAGAUCUCCAACCCCCUCUUCCUUUCUAUUUAUAAAAACUUUAAAAGGGUGGUUGUCGAUGCAUAUGUCUAUAAUAAAUAUUACAGAUCUCGUUGAGUUGAUCUUGAUAUAGGUCAGCGUUGGAGGGGAAACCACUUCGCCGACAUAAAUUAAUGGUUUCCCAAGGACAAGCUUAGCGUCCUUAAUCAAGCACUUAUCAGAUCGUAACAUGAACUUCUAAUUAUUUGCAACAUUGCCUUGUGUAUUGAGCAUAUGAGAUAAUUGUAGAAAUAUUCCUUCGGGUAUUCUUGCCACUAACCUUUCCAGGAUUGGAGCAAGAAGAUCGGAUGAAUGACAAGCGCAAGGUAUGCCCAACCAAUCAACAUGCAACAUUGAAUUAAAUUCAUCCAAUCUUGAAUUUUGCAAAAAUUCAAGCUUGGGGGAGUACUUCACAUAAAAACAUCCUUUGCCAUGUUGCUAUGUUGGUUGUCCUUACCUUUGAGACAUGCUCAAUUUGUUAAAUACUAAUCACACUACUUCAUCUCCACUUAAGUAGAUCUUUAUAAGCCAUCAUGCUACCUUUGUUUAUCCUAGUAAGUGUUAGUUUGGAAGUACUGUACAUACUUCUAUUGGCUUUAAAAUUAAGCGUGGUGCUUAGGUUAAAUAGCCUUCCUUAAUCUGAUUAGACAUGGAGUCUAGUUUGGUUACUGAACUAAAAACUGCUUGAGUAGGCAUUGGUAUAUUUUGUCGGACUAACCCCUGCAGGAAAACUUUCAAUAUCAACCUGGGAAGUCCUGAGAUAAACUCACAUUGGAGACAAGGAGAGGGACACAUGAAGUUUAACAAUUUACACGAGGAAGACGUAGCUCAUAAGAGAUGAUCCAUGGAGGGUGCCACAAACACGAUGCACAACCGCUAAGAAAGAAAAGCUUCCACAAGGUGAUACUGUACCGUCACUCUUCAAGGUAACACCUUAAGGUACUUGACUAUCACUUUUAUAAGUUUCUCCUUGGUUCUAGCAUUCAUAAAGAGACAAACAUGUAUGGUCUAUAACUCAUUAAACAACUCAAUUGAUUUAGCAUGUUUAGUCCUUUAAUCUUUGUUCUUAGUACUACCUUCGUGAUCCCACACUCCUAAUCAUAUAAGCUAAAAUAUUGCACAUUUAAAUCUUUGGAAGAUACAAACAAAACAUAAAUAUAGAUAGAUUAUCGUUCCAUUAGGUUGAGCCAUCUGAUCUAACAAAUGUUUUAAAUGCUACACUCAUGAUCCAUCAACUUUGUCUUGCUCACUAUGCUUAAGGUUAGAGAAGAACAAAUACACUUUUGGUUCUGUUGGUGUUUUCCACCAACAGGUCUCAUGCACUUGAUCUCUGCCUUGUCUCUAUGAGCAGGUACAAUUCAAGCAAAACAUGGAGGAGUUUUACAACUCCCAGAUUCCACCAAGUGAAGAACCGGGAUCUACGAGCACAAACACAAUGGAGAUUAGACACUUAGUUUCCCAAAGGAAAUAUUGAAGAACCUCUGUGUCCGAGUUGGUACCUUGUACACUCCAGCAAACUUUGUGGUGAUAGAGACUGGUACUGAGGAGAGGGCACCCAUCAUCUUAGGGAGGCCAUUCCUAAACACCAGAGGUGUCAUCUACGCUAAUGCUGCCAAGAUCAGUUUCUACAUCAUGGGGAAGAAGGAGAAUUUCCUUCAAGAACAAGACUACACAAACUUCAGAGCAAUCCCGACAUAAACCAAGGAAGAGGACCAACAGGAGGAACAGGAACAAGCAAAUGUGGACCGAGUCAACUAAGAUGGUCACUCCAGUUCAAAGAGGUCAAGAUCGUCGACUCAAGUCACCUUUCUUGAUCAAGAAGGACGACCCUGGUGUUCCAAGCAUCGAGUGCACAAUCAAUGGAUACUGUUUUUAGAAGACACUCUACGACACAGGAUCUGAUGUCAACAUAAUGGCCGCAGUCACUUAUUAGCUCCUGCAUGGAACCAUGCCCCUACAACCAAUAUAUUCAGCUCCAGAUGAUUUUCAGAUCAUUGACAUGGGAGAAGACGAGUACGAUCCACCCAUCAUCCUUGGAAGACCGUUCCUCAACACUAUCAAAGCAAUCAUCUACAUUGGAAGCGGAGAAGUCCACAUAUACUUUCCCUCUGAGAAGGUACGCAGCUAUUUUACUGACCUUAACUAUAUAGUUGAAGAUUCUAAGCAGGUCAGGACAAGAAGAAGACAACGCAACCGCAACCAGAGGAGGCAAAUCAUCAAGGAUGGAUGGGUAGACUACGAAGGAGAACUGAUAAGGUCUGAAGACAUACAGCUUGAACAGAACUGUCCUGAGGAGACCAUAGCACCGAGUCAGGUGUGGAGAGAGAAGAUAGUUACACACGAAGAGGAGGCACCGCCGGAACCACCGACUACGCCAUCCAGCAAAUCCCAGGAUGACUUAGAAAAUGGAGAGUCCCAUUCGGACCGAACGCCUUGCCAAGAGGUAAACUUGGUAGUUAUCCUUUCCCUUUCAAUUAUUUUACUUAGUUAAUCAUAUUCAUACUAUCUUAAAAAGAAAAUAAAAAUAUGAAAAACAGUAAGCCCCAUGUGAGUAUACAAGUGGCAUAAAACCCAUAAGUACAUUCACUGUGGUGGCAUAAGAAUAAAAUAAAUAUUUAUUUUCUACUUUAUAAAAUGAAAAUAUAAAAAUAGGGAGUAAUAAUUAUUGAGUCUCAACAUGAUAAAGGCGAGAUAUUUAUGCUAACACUUAAUCAGUUCCACAAGCUUUGUUGUCUAUUUGAGCUCCACAGGAUUUAAGAAUCAAGAAGACUAGCAGAUGGAGGACAUUUUAAUCGCUGUCAGAAUGCUGCUGACUUUCAAGUACACCUCUGCCACCUGCUAACUACAUCAAGAGAAAUUACGUCAAAAUUCAGCUUGGGGGAGAGCACCCCCAUUUAUCCCGAUAAGUAUUUCUAUCUAUCUAUCUAUCUUUAUACUUAUACUAUAUUAAAAUAUAAAUAUACAUAAACCAGAAAAAACCAAAUAAAGAUUUUAUGCUUAUAUAUAUAUCUUUGCUUAGUUUGCUAAAUAAAUAAAUAAAUAAAGUUUGCUAUGAACCCUCAUGAUAAACUCUCACAUGGAAAUGAUGAAUAGUUGCUCUACCAUGACUAGUUCUUAAAAUUGAAAUCCCUAUCAAGUUUAGGCAUGACUGUUAUGAAGUAAGAUUUGCUCUAAACCUGAACUUGUGGGAAGAGUACUUGAUCUAAAGUCUAAGUCGUUAACGGAUAUGCUAAAAAUAUGAGGCUUGCUUCUAAAAUUGUGAAAUAUUCAAACUAGGUUGAUUUAUGUGAAAGAAGGAUUAAGAAUAUUUUUGUACAAUUUUUGGAGCUAUAGAAUUUGAGAAAUAGAAUUUAUACAAAAAUUUCCAAAUUGAAUUUAUUUGAAAACCUAGAACUAGUUUUAAUUUGUAAUUCAAAUUCUAUUGGGAAUUUGGUCUUGCUUAUUAAAACAAAGUUGUAGGGUUUUUGUUUUAGAACAAUUUUGCUUUUGGGAGCAAGAGGUGAAAAUGAUUUUAAAUUGGUCCAAAUGAAUUUAGAAAAGAAAUUGAGAAAAGAUUUUUAAAAAAAUGGAAAGUGGCAGGCGCUGCCGGGCCAACCCCACUUCCCUUUCGGCCCAGCGAGCGGCCCGGCCUGCUCCCCCUCCCCUCUCUCUCCCGCGCGCGCGGACGCGCCUCGUCCCAACCAGCGUCGGCCACGUGCCGGCCGUACACCGGCAAGGAGCGCGUCGCGGCCGGCCACCUACACCCCUAGUCGGGACGCCGGCUCGGGCUCCCAGGCCAUUCCCUCCCUCCUAUCGCCCGCGCCCCUCUUCCUCCUCCCUCCACUCGCGAGCGCAACCGAAGCCGAGAGCUCCGCCGCAGCGCCAUCGCCGGAGCAGCUCCGCUGCUCACCGCCGGCCACCCCAGUGACCAAACCUCGACACCAAGACCACCGGCGCAUUCGCCAUCGUUAGGGUAAGCUCCUGCGCGCGUUCUACCGAGGUGAGAGUCCGUCGAGCGCCGUGAAUCGCUCGCCGGAGUUACCCCGAGCUCGCCGGAGUACUCCGCCGCGACGGAUCUUGCGUUUCCCUGCUUCUUUUCGCUGGUUCUUGGUUGCGCUAGGUCGGUAGGGUGGUGAGGAAGCUCGGAGAGACGUUUGCGCGCACUCUACCACGCCAGAGCGGCCUGGCCACGGUGAGCAGCGCCGCCGUGCCGCCAUGCAUGCUCGUCGGAGGUGCUCCGGCCAUCCUCCGGUCGAUCCAAGAGUACCGCUAGGUGCGCCUCGCUGCGGGGAGCACGUUGGUGCUCACCCCGUGGCCGGGGACCUCACCGCCGGCGAGAUCUGCUCGUCGGAGGUGUGCUCUCUCUCGGUCUCGCUGACCAGUGGGGUCAGAGGCCCACUGUCAGUCGCAGGGGGACCUCGGUGGGUGUAGAUCCGGAUGUGUGUAGCCUUUUGCGUCGGUUUUCUUAAAUAAAUGUUUUCCAGAAAUUGAUUCAAAACUUGUAAAAUGUAUAUCCUGAGUUUUACAGCUCCAAAUUUGAUGAAAUAAAUUUUGGUGUGCUUUAUAUUUCCAGAUCUACAGUUUGAAGUAAUUGCAUGUCAUGUUUGAGUAUCUUUUCUAUAUGAAUAUAUUUAAUCUAUAUUUUUGAUAAACUUGGAAAAUGCAUAGUAAUUGAAAUAUGGUUCAGAAAAAUGUGAAACUUGAUUUGUUCGCUCUGCAUGUGUGUUAACUCACUGGGAAAAUAUUGCUACACAAUAUUUGGUAUAUAAAUGAAUUUAUGGUAAUUUAAAUGCUUGCAUGACAGUGGUUUAUGAUUUUUAGUAAUUAAUUGGAUCAUGCAAUUAAUCUGGAAAUUUUUGUGGGUGUUUCUGAUGAUAUUAGACAAAUUUAAAAAAUAUGAAAUCUGCUGUUUGACACUUAUAUCAUAGUGGAGUAAUUAUACUUACCUUAUUAAUUAAUCUUGUGAUUUUUGUAGCUCAAAAUAAGUAUCCAAAAAUUAUGAAAAACUUACAGUGGACCUUGUGCUUGGGUGGUAGUCUCCUGUAAUUUUUAUGAAAUUUAUUGAUGAACAGAACUGCAUACAAAUUUUGAUGGGCCUAGAAAUGAAUAAAUAAUUUAUGAUUGUUGUAUAUAGGUUAAAUAGAAUGAGAAUGGGUUUGGUGUAUCUUUGAAGCAACUUGUAGGUUGCUGGUUGCACUUGAAAAAUGAUUGUAGAAGAGAAUGCAAUAGGUGUUAAUUCAAUUACUUACCCUUGGAUGAUGUUGACUACAUUGUAAAGAGCAUGACCAAUUAAAUCGCAUACGCAUCAUGUCAUGACCCUUUGGUACCUUCUCAUACAAGCAUCCACUCGGGCAUCUCGCACUCCACUCAUGAGCACACAUGCAUCAUACAGGCUCGCAGGAGAACAAGGUGGGACCCGAGGAGCCAGAGGAGAUUCAGGAGCAGGAACCUCCGGAAGCACAGGAGUCCGGAGAGGAACUACAGGAGUGUCCAGAUCACCGACCCAGCACGUUUGAGAAAGGCAAGCCCCGGAGCAUUCUAAGUCUCCCUAUUCUCGCUAACUUACAGGAUAUACUAUGCUUGUUCUACUAUAUUGCAUUUAAGUGAUAGGAGUUGGUUGAUACCGUUGAUGCAUGGGUACUCCUUGAUAUCACCCCUCGUUAUCUACCUUGUCCUAUGUAGAUAGGUGCGGAGUCUAUGCUUAGCUUGCUUAGUCCGGUAGAAGUCGGGUGAUUUCCCGUCACCUGCGAGAUAUAGGUGGAUACCUGCUUGAUUAAGCAGUGAUUGCUUUGGGAAAAGAAUAACCAAGUGUGGAAUGGAAUUGGAGACCGGGCAGGGUCUUAUGGUGGGUUGACCAUAGUGCCCCUGCCUGUGUCGAUUAAGGACCGAUCGUUGACGGCCCUCUUGUCAUGUUGAACGCAUGUCCCACACUUAGCUGGAAGGAUAAGUCGUUCCGACCGCGAAGCCUGAACACUAUCCGGGCCGGGAAUCGAGCCGCCAUGUGCUGUAUUGGUGAUGGUUGAGGAGAACGAUGAGGGCGCGAUGCGCAACCUUGGUAUACCUUGGAUACCUCGGUCGCCGGAACGGUCCUCGGGUACUGGCGGUGCCUGCCGAACCCGCGAAUUGGUCCUGGAUAGUGUAAUACGGUGAUCUGUAGCUCACUUGAUCAGUGAGUGUGGUUUGUGUGGGGAAUACCUCGCCAGCUGGUUAGAAAUCGAUUCAAAUCGCCAUCGCUCCUGGAUAGUGAGCACUUGACAUGAGCCCUGUCCUCUUAGUAAGGACUAUGGAACACUUGGGUUAUAAUGAUGAAUGGUUUUAGGAAAUGCUAUGAUGAGGUACCAUCAUAUCACUACACUUGCUUGUGAUAGCGCAGGUGCAAACCUAGAUAUUAGGUAAUGAUACUUUCAACUUGAGCAAAUUAAAAGAAGAAAGAUGUAUGUAGUUUAUGAUAAUUGAAUCCUGUGGUUUUGCAAAAUGAUCGUCAGCUACCCCACCAUAUAGCCUUCAUGAUCCUUGAAGAGUCUUUAUUUUAAUUUAUGAUGGGUAAGUCUAGCUGAGUACCUUCUCGUACUCAGGGUUCUACUCCCAUGUUGUUUUGCAGAUGGUCAAAUGUACUAUGGUUAUUGCAUCCUCUGUCUGUACCCAGCCAUGGGUGAUGACUAGACCAAGGGCGAUGGUCACUCCGUCUUCUCUUUUGCUUUUGUGGGAAUGACCGAACUAUGGCACUGUAUCAGACUAAAUGUGUGUGUUGUAUUUUCAAACUAUGAAGCUUCCGCUACUUGAAGAACUUGGUUUGUAAUAAUUUUAAGAACUCCGAUGUGUUUUAUGAAUGUUGUAAUCUGGAUGUAUUUGUGGAUGGCGACCGCUAAACUUAUUACGAUCUUGGCUGUUGUGCGAUGUGUGGUUUGAAAUCCUUCGAGAUUUCACGGACUACCGGGAUUAUAUGGGCUUAAGCCUGAUGGGUUGACUAUGCAAAUAGUCUCCGUUAGGCUUAAUCUCUUAUAAUUUGGUCGGUUCUGUUACAACCCUAACCCAGAGAUGAGAUCUUGUUUGAACGCAUGUAUAUCUUUAAGGCAUGAAACCACUGCAGAAACUCUUAAGUUCAUCUUUGCUCAGGGACGAGCAAAGGUUAAACUUGGGGAAGCUUGUUGACGGUCCUUAAUGCUUACAUUUAACCAUCAACUAAUCAUAGAAAAGGAUCCAAAUGCAACCAACACCUAGACUUAGGGUUUCAUCUGACAGAAUUCCACGAGUUUUGUGUUUGUCUAUUUCUGCAGGGGAUUAUCAGGAAAUAUGAAAGAAAAGCCCACACGUCGGGUUUACAUAGAGAUAUUAACGUGCCGCGCAAUUUUCUACCAUCUAGAAGACUCCAGAAGCCACGGGAACGAACGGGAGGCCGAUCGGGCCCGGGGGCAGGGCGCCCGCCCAAGUCCCUUGGGUGCCCGCCCAGCUACAGUAACCAAUCAGCUUCAACUUCGCGGAUCGUGCUCCACCGACCUAAGAGAUCAAGGAAAACCAUGCGAUUAAUAUCGGUUUGAUCCAACGGCCCAUAUUCACUUGAAGGGACUAUAAAACCAGACCCCCUGGCCCCUGGAGAUCAUACCUCUUCUAUAGAAUCAAAGCUAGGGUUUCAAUUCUUCAUCCAAGUAGAGAGGAUUCCUCUAGUUCUUCUAGUACUACCUCUAGUUCAUCUAGAUCUAGUUCUAGUUCAUCUAGUUCUAGUUCUAGUUCCUCUAGUUCUAGUUCUAGUUAGUUCUAGUUGUAAUCUAGAAAAUAGGGAGAGAGAAGAGGAGAGCGGAGGAGGAGCCGGGUCUGUCGGAUCUUCCUCAACAUUAUACUUUUGUAGCAUUUGGUUCGUUCUUCAUCGUUCUCCAGGUUCUUCAAUUCAUAAUUCCUGAAUUCUUUAAUUACUUUUAUUUACAUUCAAGUUAUUUAUUGGAUUCCCGCUUGCAUCAAGUGCUCUAGUUUUUAUAACGCUAGAGUAGUAAUUAAUAGAUUAGACGUGGUGUUUAGUCUUGCAAUUACCUGGAAUUGCACCCAAUCCUACGGAUUGUUGUGGUAGCCUUAGGGUAGUGACAGCCCUAACGGUCGACGUAUUCCACCUCGUUCGGAUCGGUGUUUGUAGGACCAUAGUCAGACCUUCCUAGCCCCCUUCUCAUCUCUUUCUGUGGUUAGUGCUCUGAUGUCCCGAUAUAGAUAAUCUUGAAGUAAUUCUUGAUUCUUAGAUCAACUAGAGAACUCCGAGGAAACUUCCUCUCUUCCCACCAAAAAUAAUUAUAUAGUUAUCCUUGGGCGAUCUUGGAUCUUAAUUAGUACACUCACGUUCUCUGUGGAAAAUCGAUACUCUGGAAUACUCCCGGGUGAAAGCUACAUCGGUAUCCGUGCGCUUGCGGAUUUUUCUGUUUGCGUUUAAAAUACCCAACAAGCUUUCUGGCGCCGUUGCCGGGGAGAAAGACGGUUUGCUGAGAUAACUUUGAGUCUUGCUAUUAUCUUGUAUUAUACUUUUAUAUUUUUAUUCUUUUAUCUUUAUAUCUUUAUCUUUAUGGAUAACUCAAAUUCCAUACCUAUUAUUGAAUUCUUUGCACCUUCGGAGACCAGCCAUAGACCAUGGGAGUCAACACGUCUUGCCCCUAAUUAUGAUCUGUGUCCGGAGUUGAUUGCAAUAGGUCAAAACCAACCCUUUUCUAUAGCUGAGGUCCUAUCUUUUAAUCAAGAAGAUAAUGCACUUUUAGCUACACCUAGGGAAUCUAUUAAUCUUUCUAUAAAUUCUGGUUUAGACCUAGCCCUACAAGAGGGCAUUAAAACAAGAGGGCAUUACAAGAGGAUCGAGAAGAGCAACAUCAAUGGCUAGAGGGCAUUAAAAAUCCAUGUGCUAUCACCAUUGAAUGGAUAGAUAAAACAAACUUGAGAGACAAUCCUAGAGGAAUUUUAAGCAUUCAUGAAGAAUCAUCCUUGGAGUUUGAGAAUGAGAGAAACAACAGUGAGCAUGGAAGCUAUUUCAUAAAUACCUCACCCAGUCCUUGCUCAUAUAAAACAUCUCUCCAAUCAAUUUGUCUCUCCAUCCUUACCACAUUUGAGAUCUCCAACCCCCUCUUCCUUUCUAUUUAUAAAAACUUUAAAAGGGUGGUUGUCGAUGCAUAUGUCUAUAAUAAAUAUUGCAGAUCUCGUUGAGUUGAUCUUGAUAUAGGUCAGCGUUGGAGGGGAAACCACUUCGCCGACAUAAAUUAAUGGUUUCCCAAGGACAAGCUUAGCGUCCUUAAACAAGCACGUAUCAGAUCAUAACAUGAACUUUUAAUUAUUUGCAACAUUGCCUUGUGUAUUGAGCAUAUAAAGAUAAUUGUAGAAAUAUUCCUUCGGGUAUUCUUGCCACUAACCUUUCUAGGAUUGGAGCAAGAAGAUCGGAUGAAUGACAAGCACAAGGUAUGUCCAACCAAUCAUCAUGCAACAUUGAAUUAAAUUCAUCCAAACUUGAAUUUUGUAAAAUUCAAGCUUGGGGAGUACUUUACAUAAAAACAUCUUUUGCCAUGUUGCUACGUUGGUUGUCCUUACCUUCGAGACAUGCUCAAUUUGUUAAAUACUAAUUACACUACUUCAUCUCCACUUAAGUAGAUCUCUAUAAAUGCUCUCAUGCUACCUUUAUUUGCUUUAGUAUAUGUCUAGGUUUGGAAUAGUUUCAUUUAUCUCUUAAUUAAGCAUGGUGCUUAGUUUAGGAAUGAUGAUCUUACUUUCAAGGGAUUUUAAAUUAAGCAUGGUGCUUAGGUUAAAAUGCCCUUCUAAAUCAAAUUAGACAUGGUGUCUAGGUUGAUUUUUGAGCCGAUAAUAUGCUAUAGUAGAUAUGGGAUAUUUUGUUGGACUAACCCCUGCAGGAAAACUUUCAACCUGGGAAGUCCUGAGAUACAAACUCAUUGGAGAUGAAGAAAGUGACACAUGAAGUUUAACAAUUUGCACAAGAAAGACGUAGCUCAUAAGAGAUGAUUCAUGGAGGGUGCCACAAACACGAUGCACAACCGCUAAGAAAGGAAAGCUUCCACAAAGUGACACUGUACCGUCACUCUUCAAGGUAACACCUUAAGGUACUUGACUAUCGCUUUUAUAAGUUUCUCCUUGGUUCUAGCAUUCAUAAAGAGACAAACAUGUAUGGUCUAUAACUCAUUAAACAACUCAAUUGAUUUAGCAUGUUUAGUCCUUUAAUCUUUGUUCUUAGUACUACCUUCGUGAUCCCACACUCCUAAUCAUAUAAGCUAAAAUAUUGCACAUUUAAAUCUUUGGAAGAUAUAAACAAAACAUAAAAAUAGAUAGAUUAUCUUUCCAUUAGGUUGAGCCAUCUGAUCUAACAAAUGUUUUAAAUGCUACACUCAUGAUCCAUCAACUUUGUCUUGCUCACUAUGCUUAAGGUUAGAGAAGAACAAAUACACUUUUGGUUCUGUUGGUGUUUUCCACCAACAGGGCCCAUGCACUUGAUCUCUGCCUUGUCUCUAUGAAUAGGUACACUUCAAACAAAACAUGGAGGAGUUUUACAACUCCCAGAUUCCACCAAGUGAAGGACCUGGAUCUACGAGCACAAACACAAUGGAAAUCAGACACUUAGUUUCCCAAAGGAAAUAUUGAAGAACCUCUGUGUCCGAGUUGGUACCUUGUACACUCCAGCAAACUUCAUGGUGAUAGAGACUGGUACUGAGGAGAGGGCACCCAUCAUCUUAGGGAGGCCAUUCCUAAACACCAGAGGUGUCAUCUACGCUAAUGCUGCCAAGAUCAGUUUCUACAUCAAGGGGAAGAAGGAGACUUUUCUUCAAGAACAAGACUACACAAACUUCAGAGCAAUCCCGACAUGAACCAAGGAAGAGGACCAACAGGAGGAACAGGAACAAGCAAAUGUGGACCGAGUCAACAAAGAUGGUCACUGCAACUCAAGGAGAUCAAGAUCGUCGACUCAAGUCACCUUUCUUGAUCAAGAAGGACGACCCUGGUGUUCCAAGCAUCGAGUGCACAAUCAACGGACACUCUUUUUAGAAGACACUCUACGACACCGGAUCUGACGUCAACAUAAUGGCCGUAGUCACUUAUCAGCUCCUGCAUGGAACCAUGCCCCUACAACGAAUAUAUAUUCAGCUCCAGAUGAUUUUCAGAUCAUUGACAUGGGAGAAGACGAGUACCAUCCACCCACCAUCCUAGGAAGACCGUUCCUCAACACUAUCAAAGCAAUCAUCUACAUUGGAAGCGGAGAAGUCCACAUAUACUUCCCCUCUGAGAAGGUACGCAGCUAUUUUACUGACCUUAACUAUAUAGUUGAAGACUCUAAGCAGGUCAGGACAAGAAGAAGACAACGCAACCGCAACCAGAGAAGGCGAAUCAUCAAGGACGGAUGGAUAGACUACGAAGGAGAAGUGAUAAGUUCUGAAGACAUACAGCUUGAACAGAACUGUCCUGUGGAGACCGUAGCACCGAGUCAGGUGUGGAGAGAGAAGAUAGUUGCACACGAAGAGGAGGCGCCGCCGGAACCACCGACUACGCCACCUAGCGAAUCCCAGGACGAUAGAAAACAGAGAGUCCCGUUCGGAGGACUUAAAAACACCAAACGCAUUGCCAAGAGAUAAACUUGGUAGUUAUCCUUUUCCUUUCAAUUAUUUAAAAUAGUUUGCUUAGUUAAUCAGGUUCAUGCUAUCUUAAAAAGAAAAUAAAAAUGUUAAAAAAACAGUAAGCCCCAUGUGAGUAUACGAGUGGCAUAAAACCCAUAAGUACAUUCACUGUGGUGGCGUAAAAAUAAAAUAAAUAUAUUCUUGUCCUAUAAAUAUAAAAAUAUAAAAAUAAAUUUACGAUCCUACUAAAGAGAGUAACAUUUAUUGAGGAGGCUCAACAUGAUAAAGGCUAGAUAUUUAUGCUAACACUUAACCAGUUCCACAAAGCUUUGUUGUCUAUUUGAGCUCCACAGAAUUUAAGGAUCAAAGAAGACUAGCAGACGAAGGACAUCCUAAUCGCUGUCAGGGUGCUGCCGACUUUCAAAAACACCUCCACCACCUGCUAGCUACAUCAGAAGAAAUUACGUCAAAAUCCAGCUUGGGGGAGAGCACCCCAUUUAUCCAGCUAAGUGUUUCUACUCGCGUUUAUACUUUGCUCAAAUAAUAAAAAGAUGCAUAAUCAUGAAAACCCAAAUAAAGAUUUUGUGCUUAUAUAUAUAUAUAUAUAUUUGCAUAGUUUGCUAAAUAAAUAAAUAAAUAAAGUUUGCUAUGAACCCUCAUGAUAAACUCUCACAUGGAAAUGAUGAAUAGUUGCUCUGCCAUGACUAGUUCUUAAAAUUGAAAUCUCUCUCAAGUUUAGGCAUAACUGUUAUAAUUUAAAACUGCUCUAAACCUGAACUUGUGGGAAGAGUACUUGAUCUAAAGUCUAAGUCGUUAACGGAUAUGAUAUGGGAAGGUUGAGCUGCUGUUUAUCUGUUCCUAGAGAUGCUAGAAUUCUGGAGAAUUUUAUCUUUGAAAAAUCUUUAAAAUAUCACAUGACGAGUUCCUGUAUGACGAGAGUUUAAAAUCCUACCACAGCCAUAUAUACAUGCUUGCUAGACUUUGAGCCACAUAUUUACUUUUUACUCCUUAUGAGCAUUGAGUGCGGUCAAGCUGUGUACACCCUUAGGAGCUUGUCAUGUGGUUAAAAUCAAGAUUCACUUGCACGUUCACUCAUACAUGCUACUUCUACUCCGGAAGUACCAUCCAUAUAUAUCCACUCAUUUCCAUCUCCACAUUCACCCGAAAUUAUUCUACUCCUAAUCCGGGAGAGAAUAGCCAAAAACAUUUUCCAAUCCCUGUUAUUCCCUGUGAAAUAAAUGCUCCAGUUAUUUUGGUUACUACCACUUGCUACAUUAUUUGAGGAGAUGAGUGCUCUAAAAAAAAGAAGAAAGAAAAAAAAAGAGAGAAGAGAAAAAAAUACGAGGAAAUAAAAAGGGGCAAGUGCCCGGAACCUCGAAGAAAAAGAAAAAAGUGAGACGAGAGGUAAAAAUGGACAAGUGUCCGACAGUAGAAUUAGGGGUACAAGAUACCCACCUGAGAGGAAAGAAAAAGAAAAUAUAGAGCAUCUCAUUCUCCCCAAAAAGCUUCAAAAUGCAAGAAAGGUAUGUAUCCCCUCAAAAGAGCAAAUGUAGAAUUAGACUUUCACCAUUAUUAUCACCAUCAGCACCAUACACCAUUCAUUCGCCACACAUGCACAUCUUGAUUUGACUUAUUGACUUGUUUCUCUAGAUCCAUGGUUUGACUAUGCAAUAAAUGUCUUGUAAGUAUGUAUUAGCUGUCUCCCACCUAUGAGCUCCAGAUAUCAAACCUUAUUAGAGUAGGGUGAGAGAGAAGGUAAUAUCACUAUGCAUUAUACCAAAAAUACCACAUACUUUGAGAGAAGGCAUAUACCAUUACUGCCUUGGUAAGGAUCCAGAAAUACCACAAAAGAGAGAUUUGAGAUAGUCAUAUAAGGAAUCUCUGAGUUUUAUUUGAAAAUCUGCAAAAACUCUAGAGCUAUAGCUGAUCAAAGAACAAGAGACAUGGCGCUUGACUUGACCGUUCUAUCUUUUAACUGCUCAAGACACAAGUGACGGUUACAAGCCCCAUGGUGAAAGGUAAAAUGAGUAAGUUUUAAGUCUUAACAGUUUAUUCUAACUCAGAGAUGAGACCUUGCUUGAAUGCGUGUGUACUUUUAAGGCAUGAAACCACUGCAGAAACUCUUGAGUUCAUCCUUGCUCAGGGACGAGCAAGAGGUAAGCUUGGGGGAGUUUGUUGACGGUCCUUAAGUAUCAAAUUUAAUUAUCAAAUAAACAAAGAAAAGGAUCCAAAUGAAAUCAACAUCUAGACUUAGGGUUUUAUCUGACAGAAUUCCACGAGUUUUGGUGUUUGUCUAUUUCUGCAGGGGGUUAUCAGGAAAUAAGGAAGAAAUGCCCACAUGUCAGGAUUACAUAGAGAUAUCAACGCACCGCGCAAUUUUCUACCAUCUAGAAGACUCCAGAAGCCACCAGACCGAAGCGGAGGCGAAACGGGGCCAGGACCUUGGCGCCCGCCCAGUUUCCUUGGGCGCCCGCCCACCUGCCGAGCCCAAUCAGGACUCUUUCUCUCGGGAGAUCUCCACCGACCUAUUGGAUCCAGAAUAACAUAGUACCACAUCGCCUACCGACCCAAAAACGCAUAGAAGGGGAGGACUAUAUAAGGAGACCCCCCUGGCCCCUGGAGAAGACAAGAAAUUAUCAUAGAGAUUGAGGGGUGCCCUCAAAGGAAAACCUCUUCUCUAAAUAAUAUUUCUUUUUAGGCUUAGCAACCAAUGUAAAGUAGAAAUAGAUCUUAUAGUUUCUACUAGAUUGAGAGAGAUAGAGUGGAGGUGUGGAUCGGAGGAAGGCCGGCCUGUCGGUGUCUACUCCGAGUUGUACCUACGGGAUCAAGUCUCCUAACCCGAGGCUUGCUUCUAAGAUUCUUCAGUAAUUCGACUUCUAAUUCUUGUAAGUUCUUGUUUUAUUGUUCUUUGGUUUAUGAGUUUACUUUAAUCCUCUUCCGGUUGAGUAUUAGAGUAAUCACUUGCUAGCGUAAACGUGGUGUUUAGGCUAGGGUACUCAUAGAUAUCCCCUGACUAGCUGGACCAUGGUAGUAGCGAGGAACGUGACAUUUCCGAGUUACCUUUGUAUCCCAUAUCUUGUUAGCAGGACGGGUAGGGUUAUAGGUGCGGGUCGAACAUCCUUUGUGUUGUCAAGAUUCCGUGAGCCUCCCCAAUAGAACUGUAGAUCAUCCUUACCAAGGUUAGAACGAGACUACGGUUGCAGUCUUCUCUAUACAUCGCUCACAUCGAGAAACAUUCUUUGUAGCCUAAAGGGGUAGUAGCAAUAGAUUUGGUUAGUCAGAUGCACCUUUUCUCCCAGUGGUAAAAAUAUAAAUACGAUAACUCUGGAUAACCUCCCGGGUGAAAUGCUCACCGAUAUCCACGCGCUUGCGGAUCAUUUCCUGAUUGCGUUACCAAAUAUCAACAAGCAUUUCUGCCAGAAAGCUUGUUGGGUAUUUUAAAAGCAAACAGAAAAAUCCGCAAGCGCACGGAUACCGAUGUAGCUUUCACCCGGGAGUAUUCCAGAGUAUCGAUUUUUCACAGAGAACGUGAGUGUACUAAUUAAGAUCCAAGAUCGCCCAAGGAUAACUAUAUAAUUAUUUUUAGUGGGAAGAGAGGAAGUUUCCUGAGAGUUCUCUAGUUGAUCUAAGAAUCAAGAAUUACUUCAAGAUUAUCUAUAUCGGGACAUCAGAGCACUAACCACAGAAAGAGAUGAGAAGGGGGCUAGGAAGGUCUGACUACGGUCCUACAAACGCCGAUCCGAACGAGAUGGAAUACGUCGACCGUUAGGGCUGUCACUACCCUAAGGCUACCACAACAAUCCGCAGGAUUGGGUGCAAUUCCAGGUAAUUGCAAGACUAAACACCACGUCUAAUCUAUUAAUUACUACUCUAGCGUUAUAAAGACUAGAGCACUUGAUGCAAGCGGGAAUCCAAUAAAUAACUUGAAUGUAAAUAAAAGUAAUUAAAGAACUCAGGAAUUAUGAAUUGAAGAACCUGGAGAACGAUGAAGAACGAACCAGAUGCUGCAAAAGUAUAAUGUUGUGGAAGAUCCGACAGACCCGGCUCCUCCUUCGCUCUCCUCUUCUCUCUCCCUAUUUUCUAGAUUACAACUAGAACUAACUAGAACUAGAACUAGAGGAACUAGAACUAGAACUAGAUGAACUAGAACUAGAUCUAGAUGAACUAGAGGUAGAACUAGAAGAACUAGAGGGAUCCUCUCUACUUGGAUGAAGAAUUGAAACCCUAACUUUGAUUCUGUAGAAGAGGUAUGAUCUCCAGGGGCCAGGGGGGUCUGGUUUUAUAGUCCCUUCAAGUGAAUCUGGGCCGUGGGAUCAAACCGACAUUAAUCGCACGGUUUUCCUUGAUCCUUUAGGUCGGUGGAGCGUGGUCCACGAAACGGGUCCGUUUUGGACACUAUAGCUGGGCGGGCGCCCUCAGGACUAGGGCGGGCGCCCUGUGCGUGAGCCCUCUCGGCCUCUGCUUCGGUCCCGUGGCUUCUGGAGUCCUCUAGAUGGUAGAAAAUUGCACGGCACGUUAAUAUCUCUAUGUAAACCCGACGUGUGGGGCUUUCUUCCGUAUUUCCUGAUAACCCCCUGCAGAAAUAGACAAACACCAAAACUCAUGGAAUUCUGUCAGAUAAAACCCUAAGUCUAGGUGUUGGUUCCAUUUAGAUCAUUUUCCAUGAUUAGUUGAUGGUUAAAUGUGAGCAUUAAGGACCGUCAACAAGCUCCCCCAAGCUUAACCUUUGCUCGUCCCUGAGCAAAGAUGGACUCAAGAGUUUCUGUAGUGGUUUCAUGCCUUAAAAAUACACAUGCAUUUAAACAAGAUCUCAUCUCUGGGUUAGGGUAACUGUUAAGAUUUAAACUUACUCAUUUUACCUUCCACCAUGGGGCUUGCAACCGUCACCUAUGUCUUGAGCAGUUAAAAGAUAGAACAGUCUAGUCAAGCGCCAUGUCUCUUGUUCUUCGAUUAACUAUAGCUCUGGAGUUUUUGCAGAUUUUCAAAUAAAACUCAGAGAUUCCUUGUAUGACUCUCUCUAGUCUCUCUUGUGGUAUUUCUGGAUCCUUACAAAGGCAGUAUUGGUAUAUGUCUUCUCUCAAAGUAUGUGGUAUUUGUGGUAUAAGGCAUAGUGGCAUUGCCUUCUCUCUCACCCUACUCUUAUAAGGUUUUGAUAUCUGGAGCUCAUAGGUGGGAGACAGCUAAUACAUACUUACAAGACAUUUAUUGCAUAGUCAAACCAUGGAUCCAGAAGAACAAGUCAAUAAGUCAAAUCAAGAUGUGCAUGUGUGGCGAAUGAAUGGUGCAUGGUAAUGAUGGUGAUAACAAUGGUGAAAGUCUAAUUCUACUUGUGCUCUUUUGAGGGGAUACAUACCUUUCUUGCUCUUUUGAAACUUUUUGAGGAGAAUGAGAUGCUCUAUAUAUAUAUAUUUUUUUUUUCUUCUCUUAGGUGGGUAUCUUGUACCCCUAAUUCUACUGUCGGACACUUGUCCAUUUUUACCUCUCGUCUCAUUUUUUCUUUUCUUCGAGGUUCCGGGCACUUGCCCCUUUUUAUUUCCUCGUAUCUUUUUUUUUUCUUCUCUUUUUUUUAUUAUUAGAGCACUCAUCUCCUGAAAUAAUAUAGCAAGUGGCAAUAACCAAGAUAACUUGAGCAUUUAUUUCACAGGGAAAAACAGAAAUGUUUUUGGCUAUUCUCUCCCGGAUUAGGAGUAGAGUAUUUUUGGGUGGUUCUGGAGAUGGAAAUGGAUAUAUGUGGAUGGUACUUCCUGAGUAGAGGCAGCAUGUAUGAGUGAACGUGCAAGUGAAUCUUGAUUUAACCACAUGACAAGCUCCUAAGGGUCUACACAGCUUGACCACACUCAAUGCUCAUAAGUAGUAAAGUAAAUGUGUGGUUCAUAGUCUAGCAAGGAUGUAUAUAUGGCUGAGGGAGGAAUUUAAACUCUCAUUAUACAAGAACUCAUCAUGCAACAUUUUAAAGAUUUUCAAAGAUAAAAUUCUCCAGAAUUCUAGCAUCUCUAGGAACAGAUAAACAGCAGCUCAACCUUCCCAUAUCAUAUCCGUUAACGACUUAGACUUCAGAUCAAGUAGUCUUCCCACAAGUUCAGGUUUAGAGCAAAUAUUAAUUAAUAACAGUCAUUCCUAAACUUGAGAGAGAUUUCAAUUUUGAGAACUAGUCAUGGCAGAGCAACUAUUCAUCAUUUCCAUGUGAGAGCUUAUCAUGAGGGUUCAUAGCAAACUUUAUUUAUUUAUUUAUUUAGCAAACUAAGCAAAGAUAUAUAUAUAAGCACAAAAUCUUUAUUUGGGUUUUUAUGAUUAUGCAUCUUUUUAUUAUUUGAGUAAAGUAUAAACGUGAGUAGAAUACUUAGCUGGAUAAAUGGGAGUGCUCUCACCAAGCUGGAUUUUGAUGUAAUUCCUUCUGAUGUAGCUAGCAGGUGUCAGGGGUGUAUUUGAAUGUCGGCAGCGCUCUGACAGCGAUUAGGAUGUCCUCCGUCUGCUAGUCUUCUUUGAUCCUUGAAUUCUGUGGAGCUCAAAUAGACAACAAAGCUUUGUGGAACUAGUUAAGUGUUAGCAUAAAUAUCUAGCCUUUAUCAUGUUGAGCCUCCUCAAUAAAUGUUACUCUUUUUAGUAGGAUCAUAAAUCUUUUUAUAGGACAGGAAUAUAUUUAUUUUAUUUUUACGCCACCACAGUGAAUGUACUUAUGGGUUUUGUGCCAUGAGCAUACUCACAUGGGGCUUACUAUUUUUAACAUUUUUAUCUUCUUUUCAAGAUAUCAUGAACCUGAUUAACUAAGCAAACUAUUUUAAAUAGUUGAAAGGAAAAAGAUAACUACCAAGUUUACCUCUUGGCAAGGCGUUCGGUGUUUUUAAGUCCUCCAAACGGGACUCUCCGUUUUCUCAGUCGUCCUGGGAUUCACUGGAUGGCAUAGUCGGUGGUUCCAGUGGAGCCUGCUCUUCAUGUAUAACUAUCUUUUUUCUCCACACCUGACUCGAUGCUACGGUCUCCUCAGGACAGUUCUGUUCAAGUUAUAUGUCUUCAGACCUUACAACUUCUCCAUCAUAGUCUACCCAUCUGUCCUUGAUGAUUUUGCCUUCUCUGGUUGCGGUUGCGCCGUCUCCUUCUUGUCCCGACCUGCUUAGAGUCUUCAACUAUAUAGUUAGGGUCAGUAAAAUAGUGGCGUACCUUCUCAGAGGUGAAGUGCAUGUGGACUUCUCGGGUUCCAAUGUAGAUGAUUGCUUUAACGGUGCUGAGGAACGGUCUCCUAAGGAUGAUGGAGGAUCAUACUUGUCUUCUCCCAUGUCAAUAACCUUCAAAUCAUCUGGAGCUGAAUGUAUGUUGGUUGUAGGGACAUAGUUCCAUGCAGGAGCUGAUAAGUGACUGCGGCCAUUAUGUUGAUGUUAGAUCCGGUGUCGUAGAGUGUCUUCUGAAAAGAAUAUCCAUUGAUUGUGCACUCGAUGCUUGGAACACCAGGGUCAUCCUUCUUGAUCAAGAAAGGUGACUUGAGUUGAUGAUCUUGACCUCCUUGAGCUGUAGUGACCAUCUUAGCUGACUCGGUACACAUUUGCUUGUUCUUGUUCCUCCUGUUGGUCCUCUUCCUUGGUUCAUGUCGGGAUUGCUCUGGGAUUUGUGUAGUCUUGUUUCUUGAAGGAAAACGUCUCCUUCUUCCCCUUGAUGUGGAAACUGAUCUUGGCAGCACUAGCGUAGAUGACAGCUCCCGAGGUGUUCAGGAAUGGCCUCCCUAGGAUGAUGGGUGCCCUCUCAUCAGUACCAGUCUCUAUCACCACGAAGUCUGCUGGGGCGUACAAGGUACCAACUCGGACGUAGAAGUUCUUCAAUAUUCCCCUAGGCAUAAUGUUGACACUGGAGCCAAAGUUGUAGAGUGCUUCUGGGGAGUCCACCAUGCCGAUGGCCAAGAUCGGGAUGACAGUGCGUCCUGGAUUGUCUUUCUUGACCGGCAGAAGGUCAGUAAUUACUUCCACAAUGAGGUUACUCUAAUAGUUAUGUCCUCAAGCAUCUCAGGGCAGUGAUUGCCUGAGUGUUCAGUAUCUCCAGUGUGUUUGUGCUCGUAGAUACAAGUUCUUCACUUGGUGGAGUCUGGAAGUUGUAAAACUCCUUCAUAUUUUGCUUGAAGUGUACCUACUCAUAGAGACAAGGUAGAGAUCAAGUGCAUGGGCCCUGUUGGUGGAAAACACCAACAGAACCAAAAGUGUAUUUGUUCUCUCUAACCUUAAGCAUAGUGAGAAAGACAAAAUUGAUGGAUAAUAAGACCAUGAGUGUAACAUUUGAAACAUUUGUCAGAUCAGAUCACUCAACCUUAUGGAAAGAUAAUCUAUCUAAGUAAAUAUUUUUUUCUUUACAUGACUAUCGUUUUCCAAAGAUUAAGUGUGCAACAUUUUAGUUCAUAUGAUUUGGAGUGUGGGAUCACAAAGAUGAAAGGACUAAACAUAUUGAAUCGAUUGGGUUGGUUAAUCUAGAGUUGUAAAUCAUAUAUGUUUGUCUCUUUUAUUCAUGUGAACGCCAGAACCAAGGAGAACCUUUAUAAAAGUGAUAGUCAAGUACCUUAAGAUGUUACCUUACUUGAAGAGUGAUGGUACAGUAUCACCUUGUGGAAGCUUUCCUUUCUUAGUGGUUGUGCAUCGUGUUUGUGGCACCCUCCAUGGAUCAUCUCUUGUGAGCUAUGCCUUCCUUGUGUAAAUUGUUAACUUUCAUGUGUCUCUCUCUUUGUCUCCAAUGUGAGUUUAUCUAAGGACUUCCCAGGUCGAUAUUGAAAGUUUUCCUACAGGGGUUAGUCCAACAAAAUAUCCAAUAUCUACUAUAGCAUACUAUCGGCUCAAAAAUCAACCUAGACACCAUGUCUAAUUUGAUUUAGGAGGGAAUUUUAACCUAAGCAUCAUGCUUAAUUUAAAAUCCUUUGGAAGUAAGAUCAUCAUUCCUAAACUAAGCACCAUGCUUAAUUAAGAGAUAAAUGAAACUACUCCAACCUAGACAUAUACUAAAGCAAAUAAAGGUACCAUGAGAGCAUUUAUAGAGAUCUACUCAAGUGGAGAUGAAGUAGUGUGAUUAGUAUUUAACAAAUUGAGCAUGUCUCAAAGGUAGGGACAACCAACAUAGCAACAUCGCAAAUGAUGUUUUUAUAUAAAGUACUCGCCCAAGCUUGAAUUUUGCAAAACUCAAGUUUGGAUGAAUUUAAUUCAAUGUUGUUUGAUGAUUGGUUGUACAUACCUUGUGCUUGUCAUUCAUCCGAUCUUCUUGCUCCAAUCCUGGAAAGGUUAGUGACAAGAAUACCCGAAGGAAUUUUUACAAUUAUCCUUAUAUGCUCAACACACAAGGUAAUGUUGCAAAUUAAAAGCUCAUGUUACGAUCUGAUCACUGCUUGUUUUAGGACACUAAGCUUGUCCUUGGGAAACCAUCAAUUUAUGUCAGUGAAGUGGUUUCCCCUCCAACGCUGACCUAUAUCAAGAUCAACUCAACGAGAUCUGCAAAAUUUAUUAUAGACAUAUGCAUCGACAACCGCCCUUUUAAAGUAUUUAUAAAUAGAAAGGAAGUGGGGGUUGGAGAUCUCAAAUGUGGUGAUGUUAGAGAGACCAAUGGAUUGUGAAGAUGUUGCAUAUGAGCAUGGAGUAAAUGAAGUGGCUAUGAAAUAAAUUCCAUGCUCAUUAAUGCUUACAGUGAAAUCCAUGUGGUGUGGUGGAAAUGGUAAGGUGAAUGUGGUAAAAAAGGAAAAGAAAAAGGAUACACGGACGACUUGGUUCGAAACUAGCACAGCUACCGUUCCCCGGCAACGGCGCUAGAAAGCUUGUUGGGUAUUUUAAAUGCAAACAGAAAAAUCCGCAAGCGCACGGAUACCGAUGUAGCUUUAACCCGGGAGUAUUCCAGAGUAUCGAUUUUUCACAGAGAACGUGAGUGUACUAAUUAAGAUCCAAGAUCGCCCAAGGAUAACUAUAUAAUUAUUUUUGGUGGGAAGAGAGGAAGUUUGCUGAGAGUUCUCUAGUUGAUCUAAGAAUCAAGAAUUACUUCAAGAUUAUCUAUAUCGGGACAUCAGAGCACUAACCACAGAAAGAGAUGAGAAGGGGGCUAGGAAGGUCUGACUACGGUCCUACAAACACCGAUCCGAACGAGGUGGAAUAUGUCGACCGUUAGGGCUGUCACUACCCUAAGGCUACCACAACAAUCCGCAGAAUUGGGUGCAAUUCUAGGUAAUUGCAAGACUAAACACCACGUCUAAUCUAUUAAUUACUACUCUAGCGUUAUAAAGACUAGAGCACUUGAUGCAAGCGGGAAUCCAAUAAAUAACUUGAAUGUAAAUAAAAGAAAUUAAAGAACUCAGGAAUUACGAAUUGAAGAACCUGGAGAACGAUGAAGAACGAACCAGAUGCUGCAAAAGUAUAAUGUUGAGGAAGAUCCGACAGACCCGGCUCCUCCUCCGCUCUCCUCUUCUCUCUCCCUAUUUUCUAGAUUACAACUAGAACUAACUAGAACUAGCACUAGAGGAACUAGAACUAGAACUAGAUGAACUAGAACUAGAUCUAGAUGAACUAGAGGUAGAACUAGAAGAACUAGAGGGAUCCUCUCUACUUGGAUGAAGAAUUGAAACCCUAACUUUGAUUCUGUAGAAGAGGUAUGAUCUCCAGGGGCCAGGGGGGUCUGGUUUUAUAGUCCCUUCAAGUGAAUCUGGGCCGUGGGAUCAAACCGACAUUAAUCGCACGGUUUUCCUUGAUCCUUUAGGUCGGUGGAGCGUGGUCCGCGAAACGGGUCCGAUUUGGACACUGUAGGUGGGCGGGCGCCCUCACGACUAGGGCGGGCGCCCUGUGCCUGAGCCCUCUCGGCCUCUGCUUCGGUCCCGUGGCUUCUGGAGUCUUCUAGAUGGUAGAAAAUUGCGCGGCACGUUAAUAUCUCUAUGUAAACCCGAUGUGUGGGGCUUUCUUCCGUAUUUCUUGAUAACCCCCUGCAGAAAUAGACAAACACCAAAACUCGUGGAAUUCUGUCAGAUAAAACCCUAAGUCUAGGUGUUGGUUCCAUUUAGAUCAUUUUCCAUGAUUAGUUGAUGGUUAAAUAUGAGCAUUAAGGACCGUCAACACAGAAAUGCUUGUUGAUAUUAGGUAACGCAAUCAGGAAAUGAUCCGCAAGCGCACGGAUAUCGGUGAGCAUUUCACCCGGGAGGUUAUCCAGAGUUAUCGUAUUUAUAUUUUUACCACUGGGAGAAAGGGUGCAUCUGACUAACCAAAUCUAUUGCUACUACCUCUUUAGGCUACAAAGAAUGUUUCUCGAUGUGAGCGAUGUAUAGAGAAGACUGCAACCGUAGUCUCGUUCUAACCUUGGUAAGGAUGAUCUACUGUUCUAUUGGGGAGGCUCACGGAAUCUAGACAACACAAAGGAUGUUCGACCCGCACCUAUAACCCUACCCGUCCUGCUAACAAGAUAUGGGAUACAAAGGUAACUCGGAAAUGUCACGUUCCUCGCUACUACCACGGUCCAGCUAGUCAGGGGAUAUCUAUGAGUACCCUAGCCUAAACACCACGUUUACGCUAGUAAGUGAUUACUCUAAUACUCAACUGGAAGAGGAUUAAAGUAAACUCAUAAACCAAAGAACAAUAAAGCAAGAACUUACUAGAAUUAGAAGUCGAAUUACUGAAGAAUCUUAGAAGCAAGCCUCGGGUUAGGAGACUUGAUCCCGUAGGUACAACUCGGAGUAGACACCGACAGGCCGGCCUUCCUCCGAUCCACACCUCCACUCUAUCUCUCUCAAUCUAGUAGAAACUAGAAGAUCUAUUUCUACUUUACAUUGGUUGCUAAGCCUAAAAAGAAAUAUUAUUUAGAGAAGAGGUUUUCCUUCGAGGGCACCCCUCAAUCUCUAUGAUAAUUUCUUGUCUUCUCCAGGGGCCAGGGGGGUCUCCUUAUAUAGUCCUCCCCUUCUAUGCGUUUUUGGGUUGGUAGGCGAUGUGGUACUAUGUUAUUCUAGAUCCAAUAGGUCGGUGGAGAUCUCCCGAGAGAAAGAGUCCUGAUUGGGCUCGGCAGGUGGGCGGGCGCCCAGGUCCUGGCCCCGUUUCGCCUCCGCUUCGGUCUCGUGGCUUCUGGAGUCUUCUAGAUGGUAGAAAAUUGCGCGGUGCGUUGAUAUCUCUAUGUAAUCCUGACAUGUGGGCCUUUCUUCCUUAUUUCCUGAUAACCCCUGCAGAAAUAGACAAACACCAAAACUCGUGGAAUUCUGUCAGAUAAAACCCUAAGUCUAGAUGUUGAUUUCAUUUGGAUCCUUUUCUUUGUUUAUUUGAUAAUUAAAUUUGAUACAUAAGGACCGUCAACAAACUCCCCCAAGCUUACCUCUUGCUCGUCCCUGAGCAAGGAUGAACUCAAGAGUUUCUGGAGUGGUUUCAUGCCUUAAAAGUACACACGCAUUCAAGCAAGGUCUCAUCUCUGAGUUAGAAUAAACUGUUAAGACUUAAAACUUACUCAUUUUACCUUUCACCAUGGGGCUUGUAACCGUCACUUGUGUCUUGAGCAGUUAAAAGAUAGAACGGUCAAGUCAAGCGCCAUGUCUCUUGUUCUUUGAUCAGCUAUAGCUCUAGAGUUUUUGCAGAUUUUCAAAUAAAACUCAGAGAUUCCUUAUAUGACUCUCUCAAAUCUCUCUUUUGUGGUAUUUCUGGAUCCUUACCAAGGCAGUAAUGGUAUAUGUCUUCUCUCAAAGUAUGUGGUAUUUUUGGUAUAAUGCAUAGUGUUAUUACCUUCUCUCUCACCCUACUCUAAUAAGGUUUGAUAUCUGGAGCUCAUAGGUGGGAGACAGCUAAUACAUACUUACAAGACAUUUAUUGCAUAGUCAAACCAUGGAUCCAGAGAAACAAGUCAAUAAGUCAAAUCAAGAUGUGCAUGUGUGGCGAAUGAAUGGUGUAUGGUGAUGAUGGUGAUAAUAAUGGUGAAAGUCAAAUUCUACUUUUGCUCUUUUGAGGGGAUACAUACCUUUCUUGCAUUUUGAAGCUUUUUGGGGAGAAUGAGAUGCUCUAUAUUUUCUUUUUCUUUUCUCUCAGGAGGGUAUCUUGUACCCCUAAUUCUACUGUCGGACACUUGUCCAUUUUUACCUCUCGUCUCACUUUUUUCUUUUUCUUCAAGGUUCCGGGCACUUGCCCCUUUUUAUUUCCUCGUAUUUUUUUCUCUUCUCUCUUUUUUUUCUUUCUUCUUUUUUUAGAGCACUCAUCUCCUCAAAUAAUGUAGCAAGUGGUAGUAACCAAAAUAACUGGAGCAUUUAUUUCACAGGGAAUAACAGGGAUUGGAAAAUGUUUUUGGCUAUUCUCUCCCGGAUUAGGAGUAGAAUAAUUUCGGGUGAAUGUGGAGAUGGAAAUGAGUGGAUAUAUGUGGAUGGUACUUCCGGAGUAGAAGUAGCAUGUAUGAGUGAACGUGCAAGUGAAUCUUGAUUUUAACCACAUGACAAGCUCCUAAGGGUCUACACAGCUUGACCACACUCAAUGCUCAUAAGAAGUAAAAAGUAAAUAUGUGGCUCAAAGUCUAGCAAGCAUGUAUAUAUGGCUGUGGUAGGAUUUUAAACUCUCAUCAUACAGGAACUCAUCAUGUGAUAUUUAAAAGAUUUUUCAAAGAUAAAAUUCUCCAGAAUUCUAGCAUCUCUAGGAACAGAUAAACAGCAGCUCAACCUUCCCAUAUCAUAUCCGUUAACGACUUAGACUUUAGAUCAAGUACUCUUCCCACAAGUUCAGGUUUGGAGCAGUUUUAAAUUAUAACAGUUAUGCCUAAACUUGAGAGAGAUUUCAAUUUUAAGAACUAGUCAUGGCAGAGCAACUAUUCAUCAUUUCCAUGUGAGAGUUUAUCAUAAGGGUUCAUAGCAAACUUUAUUUAUUUAUUUAUUUAGCAAACUAAGCAAAUAUAUAUAUAUAUAAAAGCACAAAAUCUUUAUUUGGGUUUUCAUGAUUAUGCAUCUUUUUAUUAUUUGAGCAAAGUAUAAACGCGAGUAGAAACACUUAGCUGGAUAAAUGGGGGUGCUCUCCCCCAAGCUGGAUUUUGACGUAAUUUCUUCUGACGUAGCUAGCAGGUGGUGGAGGUGUUUUUGAAAGUCGGCAGCACCGUGACAGCGAUUAGGAUGUCCUUCGUCUGCUAGUCUUCUUUGAUCCUUGAAUUCUGUGGAGCUCAAAUAGACAACAAAGCUUUGUGGAACUGGUUAAGUGUUAGCAUAAAUAUCUAGCCUUUAUCAUGUUGAGCCUCCUCAAUAAAUGUUACUCUCUUUAGUAGGAUUGUAAAUUUAUUUUUAUAUUUUUAUAUUUAUAGGACAAGAAUAUAUUUAUUUUAUUUUUAUGCCACCACAGUGAAUGUACUUAUGGGUUUUAUGCCACUCGUAUACUCACAUGGGGCUUACUGUUUUUUUAACAUUUUUAUUUUCUUUUUAAGAUAGCAUGAACCUGAUUAACUAAGCAAACUAUUUUAAAUAAUUGAAAGGAAAAGGAUAACUACCAAGUUUAUCUCUUGGCAAGGCGUUUGGUGUUUUUAAGUCCUCCGAACGGGACUCUCCGUUUUCUAUCGUCCUGGGAUUCGCUAGGUGGCGUAGUCGGUGGUUCCGGCGGCACCUCCUCUUCGUGUGCAACUAUCUUCUCUCUCCACACCUGACUCGGUGCUACGGUCUCCUCAGGACAGUUUUGUUCAAGCUGUAUGUCUUCAGACCUUAUCACUUCUCCUUCGUAGUCUAUCCAUCCGUCCUUGAUGAUUCGCCUUCUCUGGUUGCGGUUGCGUUGUCUUCUUCUUGUCCUGACCUGCUUAGAGUCUUCAACUAUAUAGUUAAGGUCAGUAAAAUAGCUGCGUACCUUCUCAGAGGGGAAGUAUAUGUGGACUUCUCCGCUUCCAAUGUAGAUGAUUGCUUUGAUAGUGUUGAAGAACGGUCUUCCAAGGAUGAUGGGUGGAUCGUACUCGUCUUCUCCCAUGUCAAUGAUCUGAAAAUCAUCUGGAGCUGAAUAUAUUGGUUGUAGGGGCAUGGUUCCAUGCAGGAGCUAAUAAGUGACUGCGGCCAUUAUGUUGACAUCAGAUCGUGUGUCGUAGAGUGUCUUCUAAAAAGAGUAUCCAUUGAUUGUGCACUCGAUGCUUGGAACACCAGGGUCGUCCUUCUUGAUCAAGAAAGGUGACUUGAGUCGACGAUCUUGACCUCUUUGAACUGCAGUGACCAUCUUAGUUAACUCGGUCCACAUUUGCUUGUUCCUGUUCCUCCUGUUGUUCCUCUUCCUUGGUUUAUGUCGGGAUUGCUCUGAAGUUUGUGUAGUCUUGUUCUUGAAGGAAAGUCUCCUUCUUCCCCUUGAUGUAGAAACUGAUCUUGGCAGCAUUAGCGUAGAUGACACCUCUGGUGUUUAGGAAUGGCCUCCCUAAGAUGAUGGGUGCCCUCUCCUCAGUACCAGUCUCUAUCACCACGAAGUUUGCUGGAGUGUACAAGGUACCAACUCGGACACAGAGGUUCUUCAAUAUUUCCUUUGGAAAACUAAGUGUCUAAUCUCCAUUGUGUUUGUGCUCGUAGAUCCCGGUGUUGACACCAGAAGUGGCAAACGGUUAUACCGCAAGCGUACGGUAGUCAAUGUAGCCUUCACCGGGAGUAUUCCAGGUAUCGUGAUUUCCACGGGGAACGCGAAGUGAAUUAACUAGGCUUUAGAUCGUUAGGUGAUGAUCAAAGGGUCUAGGAUAAUGGGGUAGAGAGGUCUAACUAGUAUUAAUGCCUGGUCUUGGUAAUUAAGUAUAGUCAAGGUUUUUCACCUAACUCUUUACUGAGGGCGAUACCUGAAAAGGAGGAUUGAGUUAACGAGGUUUUUCACCUCCCCGUCUCCUAAGCGACUACCCUGCUCAGCCCAACUAUUAUUUGCAACUUGCCUACAACAGAUGCGAGGAGCUUUCCGCCUAGCGAGGACUGUCACUCUCACACUAGGUGUCUACACAACUGCGACAAGGAGUCCACACUGGCAAGAAGUAGUCUAGACACCACGUCUAAACUAGCUCUUGCUACCCUAAGCUUAGCUAAAGCUAAGAGCACUCAAGAUCAAGCAAUGUGCCAGUAAAGGAUUCUUAUACUUAAAGUACCAGACCAAAUAUUAAAUACUAGAAAAGACUCAGAAGUAAGACUUACAAGAAGACCUGCUUCCGCGGAGGUGCUCCGCGAAGAAGACUCCCGACAGGCCGGGACUCCUCCUUGGAACUCCUCACUCUCUACUCACUAUGAUAGCACUAAGGUACUAAAGUAGUUUACUCCUAAGAUACAUGACAUUUAAGUGAAGGAAUAGGGGGGUAUUUAUAGUGGGAGAUGGAGUAGGGGCUACUCCGGUGCCACGUCAGCGAUCCGCGUCAUCUUCAUCAUGCACCAUUGGAUCAAACCGACUUCACAACCGCCAUCUGAUCAACGGUAGAGGCAAACUAACAUGUGCAACAUGUGGGCAAGGUCGGUGGGAGGCCAACCGACCCUGGAACCGCCAUGAAGUGGGGUCGGCCGACCCCCUAUCUGGCUGGUUGGGCCCACCUGCAGUGUCCUGGAGGCUCUCUGAUGUCGGUGGAGUUGAGCUGACCUGUGGGACCCACCAAAGUGGGGUCGCCCGACCCCAAUUCUAUGGGGUUAGGGUGUCAGCCCUGUCCUACAUGUCUUCCUCUUCAUGACUAUAAUGUUGUCUUGGUUACUGGUGUCACUGAUCUUUAGUUAUUCACCCCUUCUUAGUGUUUGGACCCUUGAAAAGUACCUGUUCUUACUCCUGCAACCAAAUAGUAGCAUGUACAUGUGGAACUAGGUUAUAUGUACCUAUAUUACUACUUUGUUUGGUUGUUUUCUCCCAAAAUGAGUCUUAUGUUGACGGUUAUGAUAGUAGAAAACAUGGUAUAAAUACCGUCAACAAGACCCCCCACACUUGAGUCUUUGCUCGUCCUCGAGUAAAGGUAAAUACCUUCAACACCCGGGCACCAGGGCGGGCGCCCUAAACCAGGUCACCAGGGCGGGCGCCCUGGGCCUGGCCCCUUUCGGCCUCCGUCUUCUUCCCGUGGCUUCUGGACUCUUCUAGAUGGUAGAAAAUCGCGCGGUGCGUUGAUAUCUCUAUGUAAUCCCGACAUGUGGGCCUUUCUUCCUUAUUUCCUGAUAACCCCCUGCAGAAACAGAUAAACAACAAAACUCGUGGAAUUCUAUCAGAUCAAACCCUAAUUCUAGGUGUUGGUUGCAUAUUGGUCCUUUCUCUUGUUUAUUUGAUAAUUAAAAUUGAUACUUAAGAACCGUCAACAAAUACCCCCAUACUUAGGCUUUUACUCGUCCUCGAGAAAAGGAUGGUUAAGAACAAUAUCUGGGGUAAAACAUUUUAAAACAUUCUUUAUAUUUGCAGGGUGUAAAAAAAUUCACUGUGUACCAUAGGGAUGUUCUUGGUUAAGAGUAAAGAUCCUUUCUUCUCAAUUCACUGUGUACCUAAACCCUUCUCUUCGCUCGGGAUAUUCCACCGACCUAUUGGAUCAAGAAAAACAUAGUACCACCUCGCCUAUCGACCCAAAAAUGCAUAGAAGGGGAGGACUAUAUAAGGAGACCCCCCUGGCCCCUGGAGAAGACAUGAAGAAAUUAUCAUAGAGACUGAGGGGUGCCCUCGAAGGAAAACCUCUUCUCUAAUUAAUAUUUCUUUUUAGGCUUAGCAACUAAUGUAAGGUAGAAAUAGAUCUUCUAGUUUCUACUAGAUUGAGAGAGAUAGAGUGGAGGUGUAGAUUGGAGGAAGCCCGGCCUAUCGGUGUCUACUCUAAGCUUGUACCUGCGGGAUCAAGUUCUCCUAACCCGAAGCUUGCUCCUAGGAUUCUUCAGUAAUUCGACUUCUAAAUUCUAGUAAGUUCUUGUUUUAUUGUUCUUAUGGGUUAUGAGUUUACUUUAAUCUCUUCGCGUAGAGUUUAGAGUAAUCAUUGCUGGCGUAAACGUGGUGUUUAGGCUGGGGUACUCAUAGAUAUUCCCUGACUAGCUGGACCGUGGUAGUAGUGAGGAACGUGACAAUUCCGAGUUACCUUUGUAGAUCACAUCUCGUUAGCAGGAAGGAUAGGGUUUAUAGGUGCGGGUCGAACAUCCUUUGUGUUGUCUAGAUUCCGUUAGCCUCCCCAUUAGAACAGUAGAUCAUCCUUACCAAGGUUAGAAGGAGACUACGGUUGCAGUCUUCUCUAUUUAUCACUCACAUCGAAAGACAUUCUUUGUGCCUAAAGGUUAGUAGUAAUAGACCGGUUAGUCAGAUGCACUCUUUCUCCUAGUGGUAAAAAAAUAAAUACGAUACUCUGGAUAAUUUCCCGGGUGAAGUGCUCACCGUUAUCCGUGCACUUGCGGAUCAAUUCCUUAUUGUGUUCCCAAAUAUCAACAAGCAUUUUUGGCGCCGUUGCCGGGGAGAAAGACGGUUGCUGAGAUAACCUGAGUCUUACUACUAGCUUGUAUCUAUACUUUUAUCUUUUCUUAUCUUUUAUAUUCUUUAUUUAUUUUCUUUACUCUUACCUUAUGGAAAACCAAAAUUCUAAAUCGAUCCAUGAAUCUGCAAUCCCCUUAGCAACUGACCUUUUACCAUGGGAAUCAUCACAGCCUAUCCAAACGUCCCAGUAUAAGUUAAGUUCUAGGUUGAUUGCCAUGAUUCAAAACCUAUCUUUUUCGGGAAAGGAAGACGAAAACCCUUACCUUCAUAUUAGAGAUUUUGAGCAAACAUGUGAUUGUCUUCGCAUUGAAGGCAUUUCUGAUAAAACUUUACGUUGGAAGCUUUUUCCUUUUUCCUUAAAGGGAAAAGCUAGACAAUGGUACAGUUAGAAGGUAAGUCAACAACAAGGUGAAUGGGGAGUUUUACGAGCCAACUUUUGUCUAGAUUUCUAUUCCCUUGACCGUAUAGCCGACCUUAGACUGGAAGUCCUAUCUUUUAAACAAAAAGAUAAUGAAACUUUGGGAAAAUCCUGGAAACAUUUUUCUAAUCUUUUAGAAUCUGGUCCAAACCUUAAUCUUGAAGACCCUGUUCUUUUAUUUCACUUUUUUCGAGGUCUUCAUAAAAAUCACAAGCAAAUGCUACACACAAUGUCUAGAGGUUCUUUCUUUCGCAUCCCUGCCGAUAAACCUAGAGUGAUCCUAGAUAGAAUCCUAGAAGCUGAGAUGGAUAAUACCCUUCAUGAUGAAACCUACGAAGCCGAAGUAGACACUUUGCCAAAUUCUUCAUCUACUUUAGCUAUCCCAAGUUCUGAGCCACAAGAGGAAGAAAUUCCACCACCGGACUUCAUGCAGGAUAUAGAAUCCGAUCUUUUUGCCGAUUUUGGAAAUAUUUCAAACUACCAUUCUAUUGACAAACCCCAAAACGGCCAGUUUAGCAUUUAUUUGCCAAGUGAAUAUCAAUUGAGAGAGCUUAUCUCAGUAAUAAGUAGCGAAUGGUUGGAGGAAUCAGAGCUUUCCUCUGAUGUGAUCCGGUUGGACACACCCUCUAUAACUAUACGCUGUGCUUAUAAUUCUGAUCGAUUUAAUGCUCUCUAUAAUCCUGUUGUGGGGAUCAACAUCAUGUCUGAAUCUUUUGCAGUUAAACUAUUUAAAAAUCUUGUCUUAACCCCCACAACAAAGGUCAUAAAGGAAUCUUCAGGACGAUUAGUCCCCAGUCUUGGAAUUAUAAAUGUCCUACCUCUUACGGUAGAAGGCUCCAUGGUUCAUUUGAACUUCUAUAUCUUUGAUACAUGGGACUUCGACCUGUUAAUAGGACAACCUUUUAGAAGACUCCUUUAUGAAGGUCAUACUGGAAAGCUACACAUUUAUUUUGGAAAAACCUUUAAAUUCCCAAUAACAAUUUCACACUCCUUAAACAAUAAGGCCGAGUCAUAUCUUUUGCCUCAUCCUAUGGAGGAGGUAAAGGCUGCAUCUCUAGAGCUUUUAGAGGAACCAGACUUAGAAGACGAAACUCCGUUCUUCACAGAAGAAGAAGCCGAACCUUCUGAGCCUGAACCCUUAGAUGAGUUUGCAGAAACACCUAGACCCCCCAUAGAGCUUAAAACUUUACCACCCGGUCUUACCUAUGCUUUCCUAAACAAUAAUCCAGAGUUCCCUAUGAUCAUUAGCGAUAAACUCAAUCAGGAUCAAACUCUGCGAUUAAUGACCAUUCUUGAGAAACAUCACUCAGUUUUUGGCUACUCACUCCAAGAUCUUACAGGAAUCAGUCCUAUGAUUUGUACCCAUCGUAUUCCAACAGAUCCUUCUGUUUCACCCUCUCGAGAACCCCAACGUAGACUUAACAACACUAUGAGAGAGGUAGUUAAAAAGGAAGUUAUAAAGUUGCUGCAUGCAGGAAUUAUAUAUCCUGUGCCGCACAGUGAGUGGGUAAGCCCAGUACAAGUUGUGCCCAAAAAGGGAGGCAUGACUAUUAUUAUGAAUGAAAAGAACGAGCCAAUUCCGCAACGCACCGUCACAGGAUGGCGGAUGUGCAUAGACUAUAGAAAACUAAACAAAGCCACGAGAAAGGAUCACUUUCCUUUACCUUUUAUUGAUGAAAUGCUAGAGCGAUUAGCGAACCAUUCGUUCUUUUGUUUCUUAGAUGGAUAUUCAGGGUAUCAUCAGAUCCCGAUCCAUCCCGAUGAUCAAAGCAAAACCACUUUUACAUGCCCUUAUGGAACUUAUGCUUACCAUAGAAUGUCUUUUGGGUUAUGUAAUGCACCAGCUUCUUUUCAAAGAUGCAUGAUGUCUAUAUUUUCUGAUAUGAUUGAAGAGAUUAUGGAAGUUUUCAUGGAUGAUUUCUCUGUUUAUGGAAAAACUUUUGAUAGUUGUCUUGAAAACUUAGACAAGGUUUUGCAAAGAUGUGAAGAAAAGCACUUAAUCCUUAAUUGGGAAAAAUGUCAUUUUAUGGUUAGGGAAGGAAUAGUGCUGGGACACCUAGUGUCUGAAAGAGGGAUUGAGGUAGACAAAGCUAAAAUUGAAGUAAUUGAACAACUACCUCCACCUGUGAACAUAAAAGGAAUUCGAAGCUUUCUUGGCCAUGCUGGUUUUUAUCGUAGAUUCAUAAAAGAUUUUUCAUUUAUUGCUAGACCACUUACUCUUUUGCUAGCCAAGGAUGCUCCUUUCGAGUUUGAUGAUGCAUGUUUAACAUCUUUCAAUUUAUUAAAUAAAGCACUCAUCUCUGCACCAAUCAUUCAACCCCCUGAUUGGUCGUUGCCUUUUGAAAUUAUGUGUGAUGCUAGUGAUUAUGCUGUGGGGGCAGUAUUGGGACAAACUAAAAAUAAGAAGCAUCAUGCAAUUGCUUAUGCCAGUAAAACUUUGACAGGAGCUCAACUUAAUUAUGCAACCACUGAAAAAGAGCUUCUGGCUGUUGUCUUUGCCAUUGAUAACUUUAGAUCUUAUUUAGUUGGAGCUAAAAUAAUCGUUUACACUGAUCAUGCUGCACUAAAAUAUUUGCUCACUAAAAAAGAUGCUAAACCUCGCCUGAUUAGAUGGAUCUUAUUACUCCAAGAAUUUGACUUAGAAAUAAAAGAUAAAAAAGGAGUAGAAAAUUCUGUCGCCGAUCACUUGUCUAGAAUGUAUUUUAAGAGUCCACAGGAAACCCCCAUCAAUGAUUCACUCCGGGACGACAUGCUCUACGGGAUUAACAGGUCUGACCCCUGGUAUGCAGAAAUUGUUAAUUUUAUGGUUUCAGGGUAUGUACCACCAGGAGCAAACAAGAAGAAGCUUAUUCAAGAAAGUUUUUCACAUAUAUGGGAUGAGCCAUACCUCUUCCGGGUAUGUUCUGAUGGCUUACUUAGGAGAUGUGUGAGCACUGAGGAAGGAUGGAAGAUCAUCGACAUAUGUCAUUCAUCACCAUAUGGAGGUCACUAUGGAGCAUUCCGUACACAUUCAAAGAUCUAGCAGUGUGGAUUCUACUGGCCUACAAUGUAUGAAGACACGAAGCAAUAUAUCAGAAGAUGUGGGCCAUGUCAAAGGCACGGAAACAUAAAUACAAGGGAUGCAAUGCCACUCACCAACAACCUUCAGAUUGAGCUCUUUGAUGUCUGGGGAAUAGACUACAUGGGUCCAUUUCCUCCAUCAAAGAAGUGCGAGUACAUCUUGGUGGCAGUUGACUAUGUCUCCAAGUGGGUAGAAGCAUUACCUUGCAAGCAUGCCGACAACGUCAGUUCAAAGAGGAUGUUUGAGGAAAUUAUAUUUCCAAGAUUUGGAGUCCCCAGAGUAGUGAUAAGUGAUGGAGGAGCACACUUCAUCGACAAACGCUUCAAGCAAUAUCUAUCAAAACAUGGAAUCCGUCACAACGUUGCUACCCCUUAUCAUCCUCAGACAAGUGGCCAAGCAGAGACUUCCAACAAACAAAUCAAGAAUAUUCUUCAGAAGACAGUAAAUGAAAUGGGAACGGCGUGGAAAGACAAGUUACCCGAUGCACUCUGGGCAUACCGGACAGCAUACAAAACCCCAAUUGGAAUGUCUCCAUACCAAUUGGUGUACGGGAAGACUUGCCAUCUACCUGUUGAACUAGAGUUCAAAGCACGCUGGGCCAUAAAGAGAUGGAAUAUGGACCUAGAUGUUGCUGGAGAUUAUAGAAGAAUGCAACUAUCAGAAUUGGAAGAAUGGCGAGAGAAGGCAUAUCACAACUCAAAGAUCUACAAAGAAAGAGUCAAGAGGUGGCAUGACAAGAGAAUCAAGAAGAAGGAGUUCACACCCGGAGAUAAGGUAUUACUUUUUAAUUCCAGGAUGAAGCUUUCCGGGCAUGGAAAACUCCAGAGCAAAUGGGAAGGACCAUUCAAGGUAAUUAAUUCAUCAUCCCACGGAGCUAUCACACUUCAAAAUAGCGAAGGUACGUUAUUCAAGGUAAAUGGUCAACGUCUUAAAUUAUUUUUAGAGCCCAAUGAAGAAUUUGAAGAAAUAGACGUAGUACAUUUUUACCUUCCCAUGGAGAAUUAGAGCCCGACCUUUUUAGUCUGAUGUUUUGGGUCAUAUAUAUAUUUUUCUAAAUAAUUUCAUAUCUAGAAACGCGCUCGAGAAAGUGGGCCCACAGAGGGGCCAGAGAGAGGGCGGGCGCCCAGCUCAGGUGGGCGGGCGCCCAGCUCAGGUGGGCGGGCGCCCAGCUCCUAUUCCCCCUCGGUCCCGAUUUUCUCUGUUAUGGAAAAUGCACUUAUGGUAAUUCGAAUACCCUCGUAUGGAAAGUUUUCCACGUACAUCAACCGGAGCAACCCGAACAACCCAUAGAGGCACCUUUUUGACCCCUAUAUAAAUAGACCCCUGACCUCAGUUUUCAAACAACAAGCCACCAAGCCUUCUCUCCUUCAAUUAGAGCUUGAUUAGUCCCUUGCUGAUCCAAUGGCCGAGAAGUACCACGAUGAUUGGGAAGUCGUCCCCUUCAACCUCAACAUGGAGCCUGUGGAAGACCCCGAUGCCCGUGCUCUCGUCCCGGCCAACACAGAGCGACAGCUAGAAGCCAUGCCAUUACGCCAACGCAGCUCCGCCCAAUCUUACCAUGCUCAACCAGUUCUCACCGCACCGCCACAACCCCUACUCCUCAAAGGAUCAUCAUCCAAGACGAAGACUACUAUCAAGGUGCCAAUCGGCACAAGGAUCCUUCCACCUAGACACAAUGAGAGGGUCGUUGGAGUCAAGACCAACCGAAGCGGCGAGAUCAGCAGUAUUCGCUACACUACGGAGGAGGAAAGGCCUUACUUUGAAGGGAUUCGAGCAGCCAAAGUCCGAUUCAUCCCUCCAAAGGCAGCCCCGAAGCACUCUCUCAAUGCUUUUGAGACACCUCCCAAGCGUCGCAAGACUAUAAUGGAUAUUGAUGAGGAAGUUCGCAGGCUAGACAGAGUUAUCAUAGAUCUCCAGUCCUCGAUUAAUUCCCUCACUAGGCAGCUCUCUAACCACAACACCAUUAUACUAGGCCUUAGGCAGGAUCUUGCCAGUGCCAACAAGAAGAUUAGGGAAUUAGAGCGCCGCUAAGUUAUCUAGAUUAGAUCUUGAGGCAAUGCAUUUUAGUCAUUUAUCUUUAAAUUCGGUUUAGGUUUGCUACUAUCAUCAGUUUACUAUUAUCAUUAGUUUGCUAUCAGUUUGCUAUCAGUCUUUUGUAAUAAAUGCCUCAAGAUCAAUAAAAAUUAUUAUUAUUAUUAUGUGUCUCUACUUUAUUUUUGUGCAAGAAAGCAGAAAACAAGUAUGGGGGAGAUCCCUCGACAUGCCAAACACACUCCGACUACACCACUCCACGAUUUAGGUACACACUCUGCACACUUUACUUUACACAUAUAUAUAUUUUGGAUUAUGCAGAUUAUUGUCUCUGAUAUGAUAAAAUAAAAAGAUUAAAAUAUUUCUAAUCAUGGUUAAUCUCAAUCUGUGAUAUUUCUUGAAAACUUGUAAUUAUUGAAAAUCAUUUUAAAACCCUGUAUCACUUAAGUCGUUAUGGAAUAUGUGAUGGUAGAGUGUGAGUUUCUUAUUCUUGAUAUCAUUGUUGCUUGGAGAAUUUAUUUCAAAAUAUUCAAAACUCUAGCUACCAUCCUCAGUGUUUUAUAUGCCUGAUAAAACUAAAAAUAUUAAUUAUAAUUAUAAAAGCUAUCUCCUCUGUAUUGAGUUUGUUCAAAAUGAGUUAGACCCUUGUUGAGAGGUUUAACAUGCUCCUAAGAUCAAGACAUUUAUUCAGAAAGAUUCACUCUUCCGAAGUACUAUUGCAUUAGAGGCAUGGGCUAUGCAAAAAUAGAGAUAUUUCGAGGAAAUAAAAAGGAGCAAGUGCUCGACAACCUCGCAGAAAAAAUGGACAAGUGUCCGGCAGUAGAAUUAGGGGUGCCUCGGUAUCCACUUAAAAAAAAGAAAGAGAAGAAGAAAAAAUGAUAGCCCAUGGUCCCUCUAAUAAGCAAUAUGCCAGCAAGAGUUGACAAAGAUUUUAAUUUCCAAAGUCUUUGAUCUAAGAGUAUGACAUUCCCCUCCUCGGAUCCCGUUUUGAUCAGGCAAUAAAUGCAAAGUAAGUAUGCUGGAGAAUUUUUGCAAAAUAAAACAACCUCAGUGAGAUAUAUAAAAGAUAAUGAGUGAUCUGAGAGAACCUAUGAGGAUAAAAAGGUAUGCUAACUCUCUUUCAAAAAUAUAUAAAAACUCUAAGUGGUAGGAUUGAGAAGAAAGGAUCUUUACUCUUAACCAAGAACAUCCCUAUGGUACACAGUGAAUUUUUUUACACCCUACAAAUAUAAAGAAUGUUUUAAAAUGUUUUACCCCAGAUAUUGUUCUUAACCAUCCUUUUCUCGAGGACGAGUAAAAGCCUAAGUAUGGGGGUAUUUGUUGACGGUUCUUAAGUAUCAAUUUUAAUUAUCAAAUAAACAAGAGAAAGGACCAAUAUGCAACCAACACCUAGAAUUAGGGUUUUAUCUGACAGAAUUCCAUGAGUUUUGUUGUUUAUCUAUUUCUGCAGGGGGUUAUCAGGAAUUAAGGAAGAAAGGCCCACAUGUCGGGAUUACAUAGAGAUAUCAACGCACUGCGCGAUUUUCCACCAUCUAGAAGACUCCAGAAGCCACGGGAAGAAGACGGAGGCCGAAAGGGGCCAGGCCCAGGGCGCCCGCCCUGGUGACCUAGGCGCCCGCCCCCCUCUGGAUGCCAAUCAGGACUCUCUUCGCUCGGGAUAUUCCACCGACCUAUUGGAUCAAGAAAAACAUAGUACCACCUCGCCUAUCGACCCAAAAACGCAUAGAAGGGGAGGACUAUAUAAUGAGACCCCCCUGGCCCCUGGAGAAGACAUGAAGAAAUUAUCAUAGAGACUGAGGGGUGCCCUCAAAGGAAAACAUCUUCUCUAAUUAAUAUUUCUUUUUAGGCUUAGCAACCAAUGUAAGGUAGAAAUAGAUCUUCUAGUUUCUACUAGAUUGAGAGAGAUAGAGUGGAGGUGUAGAUUGGAGGAAGCCCGGCCUGUCGGUGUCUACUCCAAGCUUGUACCCGCGGGAUCAAGUUCUCCUAACCCGAAGCUUGCUCCUAGGAUUCUUCAGUAAUUCGACUUCUAAAUUCUAGUAAGUUCUUGUUUUAUUGUUCUUAUGGUUUAUGAGUUUACUUUAAUCUCUUCGCGUAGAGUUUAGAGUAAUCAUUGCUGGCGUAAACGUGGUGUUUAGGCUGGGGUACUCAUAGAUAUUCCCUGACUAGCUGGACCGUGGUAGUAGUGAGGAACGUGACAAUUCCGAGUUACCUUUGUAGAUCACAUCUCGUUAGCAGGAAGGAUAGGGUUUAUAGGUGCGGGUCAAACAUCCUUUGUGUUGUCUAGAUUCCGUUAGCCUCCCCAUUAGAACAGUCGAUCAUCCUUACCAAGGUUAGAAGGAGACUAUGGUUGCAGUCUUCUCUAUUUAUCACUCACAUUGAAAGACAUUCUUUGUGCCUAAAGGUUAGUAGUAAUAGACCGGUUAGUCAGAUGCACUCUUUCUCCUAGUGGUAAAAAAAUAAAUACGAUACUCUGGAUAAUUUCCCGGGUGAAGUGCUCACCGAUAUCCGUGCGCUUGCGGAUCAAUUCCUUGUUGCGUUCCCAAAUAUCAACAAGCAUUUCUGGCGCCGUUACCGGGGAGAAAGACGGUUUGCUGAGAUAACUUUGAGUCUUGCUAUUAUCUUGUAUUAUACUUUUAUACUUUUAUUCUUUUAUCUUUUUAUCUUUAUGGAUAACUUAAAUUCCAUACCUAUUAUUGAAUUCUUUGCACCUUCGGAGACCAGCCAUAGACCAUGGGAGUCAACACGUCCUGCCCCUAAUUAUGAUCUGUGUCCGGAGUUGAUUGCAAUAGGUCAAAACCAACCCUUUUCUAUAGCUAAGGUCCUAUCUUUUAAUCAAGAAGAUAGUGCACUUUUAGCUACACCUAGGGAAUCUGUUAAUCUUUCUAUAAAUUCUGGUUUAGACCUAGCCCUACAAGGCCAUGUUUUUCCUAGAUAUUUUCACAUUGGUCUUAAUCAUAUAACCUUUGGUAGAGUCUUUCUUUCUUUAUAUAUUAGUAAAGGAAUGUAUGUCUUCAUUUGUGGACAUCCUUCUUGCACUAGUCUUCACAAAAAUAUCCUAGAGAUAGAGAAGGAAUCAUCUCCCAGACAAGGAAAGGAAGUUUCAAUAGCCAAUUUCCCAAUAUUUCAAUCCCAUAAUUCGGCUAUCCAACCCAUCCUUGAGCUUAAUAAUUUCUACUAUGCUCUUUCUCUUGAACCUCCUGAUAAUCCUAUGAAUCUUUCUAGACAUCCCAUGCAUAAGAAGGAGGAUCGAGAAGAGCAACAUCGAUGGCUAGAGGGCAUUAACCAUGUGCUAUCACCAUUGAAUGGAUAGUUAAAACAAACUUGAGAGACAAUCCUAGAGGAAUUUUAAGCAUUCAUGAAGAAUCAUCCUUGGAGUUUGAGAAUGAGAGAAACAACAGUGAGCAUGGAAGCUAUUUCAUAAAUACCUCACCCAGUCCUUGCUCAUAUAAAAUAUCUCUCCAAUCAAUUUGUCUCUCCAUCCUUACCACAUUUGAGAUCUCCAACCCCCUCUUCCUUUCUAUUUAUAAAAACUUUAAAAGGGUGGUUGUCGAUGCAUAUGUCUAUAAUAAAUAUUGCAGAUCUCGUUGAGUUGAUCUUGAUAUAGGUCAGCGUUGGAGGGGAAACCACUUCGCCGACAUAAAUUAAUGGUUUCCCAAGGACAAGCUUAGCGUCCUUAAACAAGCACUUAUCAGAUCGUAACAUGAACUUCUAAUUAUUUGCAACAUUGCCUUGUGUAUUGAGCAUAUGAGAUAAUUGUAGAAAUAUUCCUUCGGGUAUUCUUGUCACUAACCUUUCCAGGAUUGGACCAAGAAGAUCGGAUGAAUGACAAGCGUAAGGUAUGCCCAACCAAUCAACAUGCAACAUUGAAUUAAAUUCAUCCAAUCUUGAAUUUUGCAAAAAUUCAAGCUUGGGGGAGUACUUCACAUAAAAACAUCCUUUGCCAUGUUGCUAUGUUGGUUGUCCUUACCUUUGAGACAUGCUCAAUUUGUUAAAUACUAAUCACAGUACUUCAUCUCCACUUAAGUAGAUCUUUAUAAGCCAUCAUGCUACCUUUGUUUAUCCUAGUAAGUGUUAGUUUGGAAGUACUGUACAUACUUCUAUUGGCUUUUAAAUUAAGCGUGGUGCUUAGGUUAAAUAGCCUUCCUUAAUCUGAUUAGACAUGGAGUCUAGUUUGGUUACUGAACUAAAAACUGCUUGAGUAGGCAUUGGUAUAUUUUGUCGGACUAACCCCUGCAGGAAAACUUUCAAUAUGAACCUGGGAAGUCCUGAGAUAAACUCACAUUGGAGACAAGGAGAGGGACACAUGAAGUUUAACAAUUUACAUGAGGAAGACGUAGCUCAUAAGAGAUGAUCCAUGGAGGGUGCCACAAACACGAUGCACAACCGCUAAGAAAGAAAAGCUUCCACAAGGUGAUACUGUACCGUCACUCUUCAAGGUAACACCUUAAGGUACUUGACUAUCGCUUUUAUAAGUUUCUCCUUGGUUCUAGCAUUCAUAAAGAGACAAACAUGUAUGGUCUAUAACUCAUUAAACAACUCAAUUGAUUUAGCAUGUUUAGUCCUUUAAUCUUUGUUCUUAGUACUACCUUCAUGAUCCCACACUCCUAAUCAUAUAAGCUAAAAUAUUGCACAUUUAAAUCUUUGGAAGAUAUAAACAAAACAUAAAUAUAGAUAGAUUAUCUUUCCAUUAGGUUGAGCCAUCUGAUCUAACAAAUGUUUUAAAUGCUACACUUAUGAUCCAUCAACUUUGUCUUGCUCACUAUGCUUAAGGUUAGAGAAGAACAAAUACACUUUUGGUUCUGUUGGUGUUUUCCACCAACAGGGCCCAUGCACUUGAUCUCUGCCUUGUCUCUAUGAGCAGGUACAAUUCAAGCAAAACAUGGAGGAGUUUUACAACUCCCAGAUUCCACCAAGUGAAGAACCGGGAUCUACGAGCACAAACACAAUGGAGAUUAGACACUUAGUUUUCCAAAGGAAAUAUUGAAGAACCUCUGUGUCCGAGUUGGUACCUUGUACACUCCAGCAAACUUCGUGGUGAUAGAGACUGGUACUGAGGAGAGGGCACCCAUCAUCUUAGGGAGGCCAUUCCUAAACACCAGAGGUGUCAUCUACGCUAAUGCUGCCAAGAUCAGUUUCUACAUCAAGGGGAAGAAGGAGACUUUCCUUCAAGAACAAGACUACACAAACUUCAGAGCAAUCCCGACAUAAAACAAGGAAGAGGACCAACAGGAGGAACAGGAACAAGCAAAUGUGGACCGAGUCAACUAAGAUGGUCACUGCAGUUCAAAGAGGUCAAGAUCGUCGACUCAAGUCACCUUUCUUGAUCAAGAAGGACAACCCUAGUGUUCCAAGCAUCGAGUGCACAAUCAAUGGAUACUCUUUUUAGAAGACACUCUACGACACAGGAUCUGACGUCAACAUAAUGGCCGCAGUCACUUAUUAGCUCCUGCAUGGAACCAUGCCCCUACAACCAAUAUAUUCAGCUCCAGAUGAUUUUCAGAUCAUUAACAUGGGAGAAGACGAGUACGAUCCACCCAUCAUCCUUGGAAGACCGUUCCUCAACACUAUCAAAGCAAUCAUCUACAUUGGAAGCGGAGAAGUCCACAUAUACUUCCCCUCUGAGAAGGUACGCAGCUAUUUUACUGACCUUAACUGUAUAGUUGAAGACUCUAAGCAGGUCAGGACAAGAAGAAGACAACGCAACCGCAACCAGAGAAGGCGAAUCAUCAAGGACGGAUGGAUAGACUACGAAGGAGAAGUGAUAAGGUCUGAAGACAUACAGCUUGAACAGAAUUGUCCUGAGGAGACCGUAGCACCGAGUCAGGUGUGGAGAGAGAAGAUAGUUGCACACGAAGAGGAGGCGCCGCAGGAACCACCGACUACGCCACCUAGCGAAUCCCAGGACGAUCGAAAACGGAGAGUCCCGUUCGGAGGACUUAAAAACACCAAACGCCUUGCCAACAGAUAAACUUGGUAGUUAUCCUUUUCCUUUCAAUUAUUUAAAAUAGUUUGCUUAGUUAAUCAGGUUCAUGCUAUCUUAAAAAGAAAAUAAAAAUGUUAAAAAACAGUAAGCCCCAUGUGAGUAUACGAGUGGCAUAAAACCCAUAAGUACAUUCACUGUGGUGGCGUAAAAAUAAAAUAAAUAUAUUCUUGUCCUAUAAAUAUAAAAAUAUAAAAAUAAAUUUACGAUCCUACUAAAGAGAGUAACAUUUAUUGAGGAGGCUCAACAUGAUAAAGGCUAGAUAUUUAUGCUAACACUUAACCAGUUCCACAAAGCUUUGUUGUCUAUUUGAGCUCCACAGAAUUCAAGGAUCAAAGAAGACUAGCAGACGAAGGACAUCCUAAUCGCUGUCAGGGUGCUGCCGACUUUCAAAAACACCUCCACCACCUGCUAGCUACAUCAGAAGAAAUUACGUCAAAAUCCAGCUUGGGGGAGAGCACCCCCAUUUAUCCAGCUAAGUGUUUCUACUCGAGUUUAUACUUUGCUCAAAUAAUAAAAAGAUGCAUAAUCAUGAAAACCCAAAUAAUGAUUUUGUGCUUUUAUAUAUAUAUAUAUUUGCUUAGUUUGCUAAAUAAAUAAAUAAAUAAAGUUUGCUAUGAACCCUCUUGAUAAACUCUCACAUGGAAAUGAUGAAUAGUUGCUCUGCCAUGACUAGUUCUUAAAAUUGAAAUCUCUCUCAAGUUUAGGCAUAACUUUUAUAAUUUAAAACUGCUCUAAACCUGAACUUGUGGGAAGAGUACUUGAUCUAAAGUCUAAGUCGUUAACGGAUAUGAUAUGGGAAGGUUGAGCUGCUGUUUAUCUGUUCCUAGAGAUGCUAGAAUUCUGGAGAAUUUUAUCUUUGAAAAAUCUUUAAAAUAUCACAUGAUGAGUUCCUGUAUGAUGAGAGUUUAAAAUCCUACCACAGCCAUAUAUACAUGCUUGCUAGACUUUGAGCCACAUAUUUACUUUUUACUUCUUAUGAGCAUUGAGUGUGGUCAAGCUGUGUAGACCCUUAGGAGCUUGUCAUGUGGUUAAAAUCAAGAUUCACUUGCACGUUCACUCAUACAUGCUACUUCUACUCCGGAAGUACCAUCCACAUAUAUCCACUCAUUUCCAUCUCCACAUUCACCCGAAAUUAUUCUACUCCUAAUCCGGGAGAGAAUAGCCAAAAACAUUUUCCAAUCCCUGUUAUUCACUGUGAAAUAAAUGCUCCAGUUAUUUUGGUUACUACCACUUGCUACAUUAUUUGAGGAGAUGAGUGGUCUAAAAAAAAGAAGAAAGAAAAAAAAGAGAGAAGAGAAAAAAUACGAGGAAAUAAAAAGGGGCAAGUGCCCGGAACCUCGAAGAAAAAGAAAAAAGUGAGACGAGAGGUAAAAAUGGACAAGUGUCCGACAGUAGAAUUAGGGGUACAAGAUACCCACCUGAGAGGAAAGAAAAAGAAAAUAUAGAGCAUCUCAUUCUCCCCAAAAAGCUUCAAAAUGCAAGAAAGGUAUGUAUCCCCUCAAAAGAGCAAAAGUAGAAUUAGACUUUCACCAUUAUUAUCACCAUCAUCACCAUACACCAUUCAUUCGCCACACAUGCACAUCUUGAUUUGACUUAUUGACUUGUUUCUCUGGAUCCAUGGUUUGACUAUGCAAUAAAUGUCUUGUAAGUAUGUAUUAGCUGUCUCCCACCUAUGAGCUCCAGAUAUCAAACCUUAUUAGAGUAGGGUGAGAGAGAAGUUAAUAUCACUAUGCAUUAUACCAAAAAUACCACAUACUUUGAGAGAAGACAUAUACCAUUACUGUCUUGGUAAGGAUCCAGAAAUACCACAAAAGAGAGAUUUGAGAGAGUCAUAUAAGGAAUCUCUGAGUUUUAUUUGAAAAUCUGCAAAAACUCUAGAGCUAUAGCUGAUCAAAGAACAAGAGACAUGGCGCUUGACUUGACCGUUCUAUCUUUGAACUGCUCAAGACACAAGUGACGGUUGCAAGCCCCAUGGUGAAAGGUAAAAUCAGUAAGUUUUAAGUCUUAAUAGUUUAUUCUAACUCAGAGAUGAGAUCUUGCUUGAAUGCGUGUGUACUUUUAAGGCAUGAAACCACUGCAGAAACUCUUGAGUUCAUCCUUGCUCAGGGACGAGCAAGAGGUAAGCUUGGGGGAGUUUGCUGACGGUCCUUAAGUAUCAAAUUUAAUUAUCAAAUAAACAAAGAAAAGGAUCCAAAUGAAAUCAACAUCUAGACUUAGGGUUUUAUCUGACAGAAUUCCACGAGUUUUGGUGUUUGUCUAUUUCUGCAGGGGGUUAUCAGGAAAUAAGGAAGAAAGGCCCACACGUCGGGUUUACAUAGAGAUAUUAACGUGCCGCGUAAUUUUCUAUCAUCUAGAAGAGUCCAGAAGCCACAGGAACGAACGGGAGGCCGAACGGGCCCGGGGGCAGGGCGCCCGCCCUCUCCCCUUGGACGCCCGCCCAGGUGUUUCCACCAAUCAUAGAAUGGAGUACACCAUUGCAAAGAUCUCGUCGAGCUGAUCGAAAUGCAUAUAUUAUUUGCUAUAUUUGGAGUUCGGAAUCAAGAGAUAUUAAUAAAAGAAGGACUCCAUAUAAAAGAGCUGCGGGAUUAAUUGGGCCCAAAUCAGAUUUUGGUCCAUUAAGGCCUAUGUGCAUUUUAAUGAGAUAUGGUGGAAAGUUUAGUACUACAUCGCCUGCUGAAACAAAAACGCAUAGAGGAGGACUAUAUAAGGAGACCCCCCUGGCCUCUGGAGAAGACAAGAAAUUAUCAUAGAGAUUGAGGGGUGCCCUCGAAGGAAAACCUCUUCUCUAAAUAAUAUUUCUUUUUAGGCUUAGCAACCAAUGUAAGGUAGAAAUAGAUCUUCUAGUUUCUACUAGAUUGAGAGAGAUAGAGUGAAGGUGUAGAUCGGAGGAAGGCCGGCCUGUCGGUGUCUACUCCGAGUUGUACCUACGGGAUCAAGUCUCCUAACCCGAGGCUUGCUUCUAAGAUUCUUCAGUAAUUCGACUUCUAAUUACUAGUAAGUUCUUUGUUGACGGUCCUUAAUGCUCACAUUUAACCAUCAACUAAUCAUGGAAAAGGAUCUAAAUGCAACCAACAACUAGACUUAGGGUUUUAUCUGACAGAAUUCCACGAGUUUUGGUGUUUGUCUAUUUCUGCAGGGGGUUAUCAGGAAAUACGGAAGAAAGGCCCACACGUCGGGUUUACAUAGAGAUAUUAACGUGCCGCGCAAUUUUCUAUCAUCUAGAAGACUCCAGAAGCCACGGGACCGAAUGGGAGACGUAACGGAGCCGGGCACUGGGCGCCCGCCCUCCCUUACUGGGCGCCCGCCCUCCCCCCUGGACCAAUGAGGGUGAAGUUCGGGGAUCAUGCUCCACCGACCUAAUACUUCAAGGAAAACCACACGAUCAAUGUCGGUUUGAUCCGACGGCCCAGAUUCACUUGAAGGGACUAUAAAACCAGACCCCCCUGGUCCCUGGAGAUCAUACCUCUUCUAUAGAAUCAAAGUUAGGGUUUCAAUUCUUCAUCCAAGUAGAGAGGAUCCCUCUAGUUCUUCAAGUUCUACCUCUAGUUCAUCUAGAUCUAGUUCUAGUUCAUCUAGUUCUAGUUCUUCUAGUUCUAGUUCUAGUUAGUUCUAGUUGUAAUCUAGAAAAUAGGGAGAGCGGAGGAGGAGCCGGAUCUGUCGGAUCUUCCUCAACAUUGUACUUUUGCAGUAUCUGGUUCGUUCUUCAUCGUUCUCUAGGUUCUUAAAUUCAUAAUCCUGAGUUCUUUAAUUACUUUUAUUUACAUUCAAGUUAUUUAUUGGAUUCCCGCUUGCAUCAAGUGCUCUAAUCUUUGCAACAUUAGAGUAGUAAUUAAUAGAUUAGACGUGGUGUUUAGUCUUGCAAUUACCUGGAAUUGCACCCAAUCGUGCGGAUUGUUGUGGUAGCCUUAGGGUAGUGACAGCCCUAACAGUCGACGUAUUCCACCUCGUUCGGAUCGGUGUUUGUAGGACCGUAGUCAGACCUUCCUAGCCCCCUUCUCAUCUCUUUCUGUGGUUAGUGCUCUGAUGUCCCGAUAUAGAUAAUCUUGAAGUAAUUCUUGAUUCUUAGAUCAACUAGAGAACUCUCAGGAAACUUCCUCUCUUCCCACCAAAAAUAAUUAUAUAGUUAUCCUUGGGCAAUCUUGGAUCUUAAUUAGUACACUCACGUUCUCUGUGGAAAAUCGAUACUCUGGAAUACUCCCGGGUGAAAGCUACAUCGGUAUCCGUGCGCUUGCGGAUUUUUCUGUUUGCGUUUAAAAUACCCAACAAGCUUUCUGGCGCCGUUGCCGGGGAACGGUAGCUGUGCUAGUUUCGAACCUAGUCGUCUGUGUAUCCUUUUUCUUUUCCUUUUUACCACACUCACCUUACCAUUUUCACCACACCAGAUGGAUUUCACUCCUAUCUAUAAAUUCUUUGCUCCAAAGGGCGAGUUAUUAGAGCCACCACCAUCAUCACAUCCAAUUCUUACAGAUGGCUACGACUCGGCCCUGAUCUCAUAGCCAUGAUUCAGGAGCAACCCUUCUCUGGGCAAGUAGAUGAAGAUCCAUACACCCACCUUAGAGAAUUCGAGGAGUUGUGCUCUUGCCGAUCUAUUUCUGGCAUGACACAAGAAACCCUUAAAUUGAAAUUAUUUCCGUUCUCCCUUUUGGGAAGAGCAAAAAAGUGGUAUGCUCAUUCUGUAGGAGGCGUUAAUGGAAGUUGGGAUGAACUUCGGGACAACUUUUGUCUCGCUUUCUUCCCACUUUUUCGAAUUGCUGACCUUAAAAUUGAAAUUCUUACAUUCAAACAAAGAGAGAAGGAAACUUUAGGAGCAGCUUGGGCUAGGUUCACAAGCCUUACCAAUUCUGGUCCAAACCUUUCCCUGCCUGACCAUGUACUGUACUACCACUUCUAUCGUGGUCUAAACAAGGAAGCUGCUCUUCACCUCGACAUUGCUUCAGGAGGCUCAUUCACACACAAACUCACAGAUGAGGGGAGAGCCAUCCUAGAAAGAAUUCUUGAAAAUACCCCUUACACAGGCAUUUAUGAUGAGUUUCCUGAAGGAGAAAAAGAAGUCGAGCCUAAUCCUAAACCAAAAGAUGAGGAACUUGCAACCGAGUUAGAAAUUCCACCUGACCCAUCCAUUAAUUUGGUUGUAGAGAAACCUCCUGAUAAAGGAAUGCAAAACCAACUAAGGGAUGAUGAACCACCACCUUUAGAGCAUCCCUUUGAAUUCGAGGAAGAUCUUUUUGAAGAUUAUGGAAACACCUCAAAUUUUCCUAUCCAAACACGACCUCUAGCAAGGACCACUCAAUCCGUUCUAAGAGUAGAAUCUGUUGACAUAGAACACAUCAAAAGCCUUUCGGCUAUUCUGAGUUACGAAUGGCUAACAGAAGCAGAGCUGUCUCCUGAGGUAGCUCGGAUCAUCACUCCUUCAACCAUUCUUCUGUGCCAAAUUAGAGGGUCCACUAGGAAGGUCCACUACAAUCCAUAUUUGGGAUAAAUGUUAUUUCCAAGGAGUUAGCUGACACUCUUUAUCCCAACGAGUCCAUAACCCCAUCUCAAAAACUUUUACGAAGUCCAUCUAGAUUAAUUCUAGAAAGCCAUGGGGUAUUAAGGGCAGUUCCUAUUAGAAUCAAGGACUCUGGAAUAUGUCUAGAUUUCCACAUUUUUGACAUACCAGAGAUUCCUCUCUUGAUUGGCAGACCAAUCAUGAAACUUCUACAGGAACAACCACAACGAGGUCAUUUAGACUUCAAGGUUGGGAAUUCCACUAUUGUUGUUCCUCUCGCUAGAUCAAUUAACAUGAUAGUGGAACCCAAACCUGACCCAGAUCCUAUUGAGGAGGUCUUAAUGGUGACUCAAGAGGAGAUGACCCAACCAUUCUUUAAUCAUGAACACUUUGUUCAAGAAGAAGAAGAGUUGGUAGAACCCGUUGAGCUAGACAAAAAUGAACUACCUUCACCUCCUUCGAUAGAAUUAAAACCUCUUCCUUCUGGCCUUACAUAUGUCUUCUUGCACAACAACUCAAAAACUCCAGUAAUUAUCAGUGACAAGCUUUCCGAUUAUGAAACACAACAACUUGUCACUGUUCUUGAAAGACAUAGAUCAGCUUUUGGCUACUCUCUCGAGGAUCUCACGGGCAUUAGUCCCAUUCUCUACACUCAUCGUAUCCUUAUUGAUCCCAAUUCUACACCUUCAAGGGAACCACAACGGAGACUUAACAAUGCUAUGCGAGAGGUUGUUAAGAAAGAGAUCCUCAAACUCUAGCGUGCUGGGAUUAUUUAUCCUGUGCCACAUAGUGAGUGGGUUAGCCCUGUCCAAGUAGUGCCAAAGAAAGGAGGAAUGACGGUCGUUAGGAAUGAGAAGAAUGAACUUAUCCCUCAACGAAUUGUCACUGGGUGGCGUAUGUGUAUUGACUAUCGAAAACUCAAUAAGGCUACAAAGAAAGAUCACUUUCCGUUACCCUUCAUUGAUGAAAUGUUGGAACGGCUUGCAAACCACUCUUUCUUUUGUUUCCUUGAUGGUUAUUCUGGAUAUCACCAAAUCCCAAUCCACCCAGAUGACCAAGAAAAGACUACCUUUACAUGCCCGUAUGGAACUUAUGCAUACCGACGAAUGUCGUUCGGAUUGUGCAAUGCCCCAGCUUCUUUCCAACGGUGCAUGAUGUCUAUUUUUUCGGACAUGAUUGAGAAAAACAUGGAGGUUUUCAUGGAUGAUUUUACCGUCUAUGGCAAAACCUUUGAUCAUUGUUUAGAGAAUUUAGAUAGAGUCUUGCAGCGAUGUGAAGAAAAGCACUUAAUCCUGAACUGGGAGAAAUGCCAUUUUAUGGUUCAGGAAGGAAUAGUGCUAGGACAUAAAGUGUCCGAACGUGGUAUAGAGGUGGACAAAGCAAAGAUUGAAGUUAUUGAAAAACUUCCACCUCCCACGAAUGUGAAAGGAAUCCGUAGCUUUUUGGGACAUGCAGGGUUCUAUAGACGCUUUAUCAAGAAUUUCUCUCAAAUUGCUAGACCCCUCACUAAUCUCCUAGCUAAGGACGCACCUUUCAUCUUUAGUGAUGAGUGUCAUGAAUCUUUUCAAACUCUUAAGAAAGCACUCAUCUCAGCCCCGAUUAUCCAACCACCUGAUUGGAAUCUUCCUUUUGAGAUCAUGUGUGAUGCUAGCGAUUUUGCGGUUGGUGCUGUUUUAGUACAAACCAAGGAUAAAAAGCAUUAUGCCAUAUCCUACGCUAGCAAAACCUUGUCUGGACCACAGCUCAAUUACACUACAACUGAAAAAGAGCUUUUAGCUGUUGUCUUUGCUAUAGACAAGUUUAGAUCUUACUUAGUGGGGGCAAAGAUAAUCAUCUAUUCAGACCAUGCUGCUCACAAGUACCUCCUCACUAAGAAAGAUGCUAAGCCUCGUCUAAUUCGAUGGAUUCUUCUACUCCAAGACUUUGACAUAGAAAUCCGAGAUAGGAAGGGAGUAGAGAAUUCCGUAGCCGACCACUUGUCCAGGCUUCAACAUAAGGAAACACAUGAUGAGCUUCCCACAAAUGACUACCUAAGGGAUGACACCCUACUUAAGAUAACACAUGCAGAUCCAUGGUACGCAGACAUCGUAAACUUUAUAGUAAAAGGCUAUGUCCCACCUGGUGCAAACAAAAGGAAGUUGCUUCACGAUAGUCGUUUCCACCUUUGGGAUGAGCCAUAUCUUUUCCGAGUCUGCACUGAUGGACUCUUGAGAAGGUGUGUUCCUAUGGCUGAGGCUACUCAAAAUAUGGAAAGAUGCCAUGCCUCGCCAUAUGGAGGACACUAUGGAGCAUUCCGGACACAUGCUAAAAUUUGGCAAAGUGGCUUUUUCUGGCCAACGAUGUAUGAAGAUACAAAGGACUUUGUCAGGAGAUGCCACCGAUGUCAAAAACAUGGGAAUAUCAACUCACGAAAUGAAAUGCCUCUCACAAAUAAUCUUCAAGUAGAACUUUUCGAUGUAUGGGGCAUUGAUUUCAUGGGGCCAUUCCCUAUGUCCGGGAAUUGCGAGUAUAUCUUAGUAGCUGUGGACUACGUGUCCAAAUGGGUAGAAGCCCUACCUUGUCGAUCAGCUGAUUCAAAACAUGCCAAGAGAAUGUUCCAUGAAGUAAUCUUUCCUCGCUUUGGUAUACCCCGGAUAGUUAUAAGCGAUGGAGGUUCCCACUUCAUCGAUAAAAUCUUCCGGAAGUACCUAGCCGAUCAUGGAGUUCGACACAACGUCGCAACACCAUACCAUCCUCAGACUAGCGGUCAAGCCGAAACAUCUAACAAACAAAUAAAAAAUAUUUUACAAAAGACCGUAGAUGAGAUGGGUAAGGGAUGGAAGGACAAACUUCCUGAUGCACUUUGGGCAUAUAGAACUGCAUUCAAAACACCCAUAGGCAUGUCACCUUAUCAACUUGUAUAUGGAAAAACUUGUCACUUGCCUGUGGAAGUAAAGUUUAAGGCUCAUUGGGCGCUCAAGAAAUGGAACAUGGAUCUCCACCUCGCUAGCGAGAAUCGUCUGAUGCAACUAUCUGAGCUAGAAGAAUGGAGAGAGAAAGCCUACCACAAUUCAAGGAUCUAUAAAGAGAGAACAAAACGAUGGCAUGAUACGAGAAUCAAGCACAAGGAGUUUAAGCCUGGAGAUAAGGUUCUACUAUUCAAUUCAAGAGUUAAGCUCUUUGGUCAUGGUAAACUACGAAGUAAGUGGGAUGGACCAUACAAGGUUAUUGACACUUCAACUCAUGGAGCCAUUACCAUCCAAGACGACAUAGGUAACACUUUUAAGGUAAAUGGUCAACGCUUGAAAAUCUAUCUCGAGCCACAAAACAACCUGGUAGAGGAACUUGAUGUGAUUGAGUUCAUAGAAUUCUCAUAUUAAGCUCUCAUAAGCUCUAGACAAUUACCUAACCCUUAACAUGCUCCACAAGUUUUGUUGUCUAUUUGAGUUGUGCAGGAUUUUGAGGCUUAAGAAGAGUGAAACCAAACAUGCAGGCUACAAGAGUGAACGACUAUGUCAACAUCCAGCUUGGGGGAGGCACCCCCACGUGUAUCUAGAUAAGUAUUACUUUUCUUUCUGAGUUUUAUUUACUAGUAUUCAGAAAUAAAAAAAUGCAUAACCAUGAAACCAAACAAAGUUUUUCUUUUGAGUAAUAUACAAUAGUUUUGUGUAAUCCGAAGUUUUAAAUAAAAAGAAAGUUUGGUUCACGUCUAGGUAAUUGACAAACAUGAUAUGAGAAGGUCUGAGCUACUAUUUAACUUGUUCCAAGUUUGGCUAGAGUUCUGGAGAUUUUAUCUUUUGAAAAUCUAAAAAUUCAUAAAUAUAUAUAUAUAUAGAUCAUAAUACCUAGAGUCUUAUAAGAUAUAAAUAUUAAAACUGUGGGCACUUGCUUUGUUCAAGCCAUUGUUAAUUCUUGUAGUUUUGGUUGAGAGAAUUAUCAUGCUCCCAAGAUCAAGAUCUUUUUGUUUUAAAAUAUAAAAGAUUCACUCUUCCGAAGUAUUAUUGCGUUAGAGGCAUGGGACUAUGCAAAAAUUUGAUUCGAAAAAAAAAGAGUGAGACGAGAGGUAAAAAUGGACAGGUGUCCGAAGUAGAAUUAGGGGUACAAAGAUACCCACCUGAGUGGAAAAAAUGGACAUGUGUCCGACAGUAGCAUUAGGGGUACUUGCUGCCCACUUGAAAAAAAAAGAGAAAAAAAAGAAAAAAAUGAUAGCCCAUGGUCCCUCUAAUAAGCAAUAUGCCAGUAAGAGAUGACAAACUUCUUAAAAAGGUCAAAGGUCUUGAUCUAGGAGUAUGACAUUCCUCUCCCUUACUCCGAGUGUUGACAUAGCAAAAUGCAAAGUAAGUAUGCUAAAACUUUUAAAGCUCUACUUAUAUAUCUUUCGAGAAGAAGGCAAAUGCCUCAGUUUUAUUUUGCAGACUUAUAAAAAAACUCCAGAACAAAGGUAAGAUAGAAGAACUUGAGACAUAGUGCUUGACUUGAUCGUUCUGUUUUUCAAUCACUUAAGACCUUAAAAACCCUAUAGUAAGAGGCAUAAAAGUAACCCCUGUUUUCUUGAUGAUUUUAGCUUUGCUCAGGGACGAGCAAAGGUUAAGCUUGGGGGAGCUUGUUGACGGUCCUUAAUGCUCACAUUUAACCAUCAACUAAUCAUGGAAAAGGAUCUAAAUGCAACCAACACCUAGACUUAGGGUUUUAUCUGACAGAAUUCCACGAGUUUUGGUGUUUGUCUAUUUCUGCAGGGGGUUAUCAGGAAAUACGGAAGAAAGGCCCACACGUCGGGUUUACAUAGAGAUAUUAACGUGCCGCGCAAUUUUCUAUCAUCUAGAAGACUCCAGAAGCCACGGGACCGAAUGGGAGACGUAACGGAGCCGGGCACUGGGCGCCCGCCCUCCCUUACUGGGCGCCCGCCCUCCCCCCUGGACCAAUCAGGGUGAAGUUCGGGGAUCAUGCUCCACCGACCUAAUACUUGAAGGAAAACCACACGAUCAAUGUCGGUUUGAUCCGACGGCCCAGAUUCACUUGAAGGGACUAUAAAACCAGACCCCCUGGCCCCUGGAGAUCAUACCUCUUCUACAGAAUCAAAGUUAGGGUUUCAAUUCUUCAUCCAAGUAGAGAGGAUCCCUCUAGUUCUUCUAGUUCUACCUCUAGUUCAUCUAGAUCUAGUUCUAGUUCAUCUAGUUCUAGUUCUAGUUCUUCUAGUUCUAGUUCUAGUUAGUUCUAGUUGUAAUCUAGAAAAUAGGGAGAGAGAAGAGGAGAGCGGAGGAGGAGCCGGAUCUGUCGGAUCUUCCUCAACAUUGUACUUUUGCAGUAUCUGGUUCGUUCUUCAUCAUUCUCCAGGUUCUUAAAUUCAUAAUCCUGAGUUCUUUAAUUACUUUUAUUUACAUUCAAGUUAUUUAUUGGAUUCCCGCUUGCAUCAAGUGCUCUAAUCUUUGCAACAUUAGAGUAGUAAUUAAUAGAUUAGACGUGGUGUUUAGUCUUGCAAUUACCUGGAAUUGCACCCAAUCGUGCGGAUUGUUGUGGUAGCCUUAGGGUAGUGACAGCCCUAACGGUCGACGUAUUCCACCUCGUUCGGAUCGGUGUUUGUAGGACCGUAGUCAGACCUUCCUAGCCCCCUUCUCAUCUCUUUCUGUGGUUAGUGCUCUGAUGUCCCGAUAUAGAUAAUCUUGAAGUAAUUCUUGAUUCUUAGAUCAACUAGAGAACUCUCAGGAAACUUCCUCUCUUCCCACCAAAAAAUAAUUAUAUAGUUAUCCUUGGGCGAUCUUGGAUCUUAAUUAGUACACUCACGUUCUCUGUGGAAAAUCGAUACUCUGGAAUACUCCCGGGUGAAAGCUACAUCGGUAUCCGUGCGCUUGCGGAUUUUUCUGUUUGCGUUUAAAAUACCCAACAUUCUUCUUUAUAUUGUUCUUUGGUUUAUGAGUUUACUUUAGUCCUCUUCCGGUUGAGUAUUAGAGUAAUCACUUGCUAGCGUAAACGUGGUGUUUAGGCUAAGGUAGUCAUAGAUAUCCCCUGACUAGCUGGACCAUGGUAGUAGCGAGGAACGUGACAUUUCCGAGUUACCUUUGUAUCCCAUAUCUUGUUAGCAGGACGAGUAGGGUUUAUAGGUGCGUGUCGAACAUCCUUUGUGUUGUCUAGAUUCCAUGAGCCUCCCCAAUAGAACAGUAGAUCAUCCUUACCAAGGUUAGAACGAGACUACGGUUGCAGUCUUCUCUAUACAUCACUCACAUCGAGAAACAUUCUUUGUAGCCUAAAGGGGUAGUAGCAAUAGAUUUGGUUAGUCAGAUGCACCCUUUCUCCCAGUGGUAAAAAUAUAAAUACGAUAACUCUGGAUAACCUCCCGGGUGAAAUGCUCACCGAUAUCCGUGCGCUUGCGGAUUAUUUCCUUAUUGCGUUACCAAAUAUCAACAAGCAUUUCUGGCGCCGUUGCCGGGGAACGGUAGCUGUGCUAGUUUCGAACCAAGUCGUCCGCGUAUCCUUUUUAUUUUCCUUUUUUACCACACUCACCUUACCAUUUUCACCAUACCACAUGGAUUUCACUCUAAGCAUUAAUGAGCAUGGAAUUUAUUUCAUAGCCACUUCAUUUACUCCAUGCUCAUAUGCAACAUCUUCACAAUCCAUUGGUCUCUCCAACAUCACCACAUUCGAGAUCUCCAACCCCCACUUCCUUUCUAUUUAUAAAAACUUUAAAAGGGCGGUUGUCAAUGCAUAUGUCUAUAAUAAAUUUUGCAGAUCUCGUUGAGUUGAUCUUGAUAUAGGUCAGCAUUGGAGGGGAAACCACAUCGCCGACAUAAAUUGAUGGUUUCCCAAGGACAAGCUUAGUGUCCUAAAACAAGCACUGAUCAGAUUGUAACAUGAGCUUUUAAUUAUUUGCAACAUUACCUUGUGAGUUGAGCAUAUAAGGAUAAUUGUAAAAAAAUUCCUUCGGGUAUUCUGGUCAUUAACCUUUCCAGGAUUGGAGCAAGAAGAUCGGAUGAAUGACAAGCACAAGGUAUGUACAACCAAUCAUCAUACAACAUUGAAUUAAAUUCAUCCAAACUUGAAUUUUGCAAAAUUCAAGCUUGGGGGAGUACUUUAUAUAAAAACAUCAUUUGCCAUGUUGCUAUGUUGGUUGUCCCUACCUUUGAGACAUGCUCAAUCUGUUAAAUACUAAUCACACUACUUCAUCUCCACUUGAGUAGAACUCUAUAAAUGCUCUCAUGCUACCUUAAUUUGCUUUAGUAUUUGUCUAGGCUUGGAGUAGUUUCAUUUAUCUCUUAAUUAAGCAUGGUGCUUAGUUUAGGGCUGAUGAUCUUACUUCCAAGGGAGUUUAAAUUAAGCAUGAUGCUUAAGUUAAAAUGCCCUCCUAAAUCAAAUUAGACAUGGUGUCUAGGUUGAUCUUUGAGCCGAUAAUAUGCUAUAGUAGAUAUUGGAUAUUUUGUUGGACUAACCCCUGCAGGAAAACUUUCAAUAUCGACUUGGGAAGUGCUGAGAUAAACUCACAUUGGAGACAAAGAGAGAGAUGCAUGAAGGUUAACAAUUUACACAAGGAAGACAUAGCUCACAAGAGAUGAUCCAUGGAGGGUGCCACAAACACGAUGCACAACCGCUAAGAGAGGAAAGCUUCCACAAGGUGAUACUGUACCAUCACUCUUCAAGUAAGGUAACAUCUUAAGGUACUUGACUAUCACUUCUAUAAGCUUCUCCUUAUUUUUGGCAUUCACACGAGUAAAAGAGACAAACAUGUAUGAUUUACAACUCUAGAUUAACCAACCCAAUCGAUUCAAUAUGUUUAGUCCUUCUACCUUUGUGAGCCCACACUCCUAAUCAUAUGACCUAAAAUGUUGCACACUCAAUCUUUGGAAGAUAUAUUUUAUAAAAAAAACAACAUAAAUAUAGAUAGAUUAUCUUUCCAUUAGGUUGAGCGAUCGGAUCUGACAAAUGUUUUAAAUGCUACACUCAUGAUUUUAUUAUCCAUCAACUUUGUAUUGCUCACUAUGCUUAAGGUUAGAGAAGAACAAAUACACUUUUGGUUCUAUUGGUGUUUUCCACCAACAGGGCCCAUGCACUUGAUCUCUGCCUUGUCUCUAUAAGCAGGUACACUUCGAGCAAAAUAUGAAGAAGUUUUACAACUCCCAGACUCCACCAAGUGAAGAACCUAGAUCUACGAGCACAAACACACUGGAGAUACUGGAUAGUCAGGCAAUCACUGCCCUGGGAUGCUUAAGGACGUAACUUCUAGAGUAACACUAUUGUGGAAGUAAUUACUGACCUUCUGCCGAUCAAGAGAGGCAAUCCAGGACGCCCCGUCAUCCCAAUCUCCAUCGGCAUGGUGGACUUCCCAGAAGCACUCUGUGACUUUGGCUCCAGCGUCAACAUUAUGCACAGGGUACUCUAUGAAAAAUUCUUUACACAUCCUUUAUUAGAAACAACCAUGUGUUUGCAGCUUGCAGAUCGUAUGCUAAGUUUCCCAAAGAGAAUAUUGAAGAACUUCUAUGUCCGAGUUGGUAUCUUAUACGCUCCAGCAGACUUCGUGGUGAUAGAGACCGGUAAUGAUGAGAGGGCACCCAUCAUCUUAGGGAGGCCAUUCUUAAACACCUCGGGAGCUGUCAUCUACGCUCUGCUGCCAAGAUCAGUUUCUACAUCAAGGGGAGGAAGGAGACGUUUUCCUUCAAGAACAAGACUACACAAAUCUCAGAGCAAUCCCAACAUGAACCAAGGAAGAGGACCAACAGAAGGAACAGGAACAAGCAAAUAUGGUCCGAGUCAGCUAAAAUGGUCACUGCAGCUCAAGGAGGUCAAGAUCGUCAACUCAAGUCGCCUUUCUUGAUCAAGAAGGACGACCCUGGUGUUCCAAGCAUCGAGUGCACAAUCAACGGAUAUUCUUUUCAGAAGACACUCUACGACACCGGAUCUGACGUCAACAUAAUGGCCGUAGUCACUUAUCAUCUCCUGCAUGGAACCAUGCCCCUAAAACCGACAUACAUUCAGCUUCAGAUGGCAGAUCAGACAUUCCGAAAGGUUGAAGGUUAUUGACAUGGGAGAAGACAAGUACGAUUCACCCAUCAUCCUUGAGAGACCGUUCCUCAGCACCAUUAAAGCAAUCAUCUACACUGGAACUAGAGAAGUCCACAUGCACUUCCCCUCUUAGAAGGUAGGCCGCUAUUUUACUGACCCGAACUAUAUAGUUGAAGACCCUAAGCAGGUUAGUACAAGAAGAAGAUGACGCAACCGUAACCAGAGAAGGCAAACCAUCAAGGACGGAUGGGCAGACUACGAAGGAGAAGUAGUAAGAUCUGAAGACAUAUAGCUUGAACAGAACUGUCCUGAGGAGACCGUAGCACCUAGUCAGGUGUGGAGAGAGAAGAUAGUUAUACACGAAGAGAAGGCACCGCCGGAACCACCGACUACGCCAUCCAGCGAAUCCCAGGACAACUGAGAAAACGGAGAGUCCCGUUCGGAGCACUUAAAAACACCGAACGUCUUGCCAAGAGGUAAACUUGGUAGUUAUCCUUUCCCUUUCAAUUAUUUUAAACAGUUUGCUUAGUUAAUCAUAUUCAUGCUAUCCUAAAAAGAAAAUAAAAAUGUAAAAAAUAGUAAGCCCCAUGUGAGUAUACGAGUGGCAUAAAACCCAUAAGUACAUUCACUGUGGUCGCAUAAAAAUAAAAUAAAUAUUUCAUUUCUGCUUUAUAAAAUAAAAAUAUAAAAACAGGGAGUAAUAAUUAUCAAGGAGUAUCAACAUGAUAAAGGCUAGAUAUUUAUGCUAACACUUAACCAGUUCCACAAAGCUUUGUUGUCUAUUUGAGCACCACAGAAUUCAAGGAUCAAAGAAGACUAGCAGACGGAGGACAUCCUAAUCGCUGUCAGGGUGCUGUCGACAUUCAAAUACACCUCCAACACCUGCUAGCUACAUUAGAAGAAAUUACGUCAAAAUCCAGCUUGGGGGAGAGCAGCCCCAUUUAUCCAGCUAAGUAUUCUACUCACGUUUAUACUUUACUCAAAUAAUAAAAAGAUGCAUAAUCAUAAAAACAGAAAUAAAGAUUUUGUGCUUAUAUAUCUUUGCUUAGUUUGCUAAAUAAAUGAAUAAAUAAAGUUUGUUAUGAACCCUCAUGAUAAGCAUCUCUAGGAACAGAUAAACAGCAGCUCAACCUUCCCAUAUCAUAUCCGUUAACGACUUAGACUUCAGAUCAAGUAAUCUUCCCACAAGUUCAGGUUUAGAGCAAAUCUUAAUUAAUAACAGUCAUUCCUAAACUUGAGAGAGAUUUCAAUUUUGAGAACUAGUCAUGGCAGAGCAACUAUUCAUCAUUUCCAUGUGAGAGCUUAUCAUGAGGGUUCAUAGCAAACUUUAUUUAUUUAUUUAUUUAGCAAACUAAGCAAAGAUAUAUAUAUAAGCACAAAAUCUUUAUUUGGGUUUUUAUGAUUAUGCAUCUUUUUAUUAUUUGAGUAAAGUAUAAACGUGAGUAGAAUGCUUAGCUGGAUAAAUGGGGGUGCUCUCCCCCAAGCUGGAUUUUGAUGUUAUUCCUUUUUGAUGUAGCAAGCAAGUGGUGGAGGUGUAUUUGAAUGUCGGCAGCGCUCUGACAGCGAUUAGGAUGUCCUCCGUCUGCUAGUCUUCUUUGCUCCUCGAAUUCUGUGGAGCUCAAAUAGACAACAAAGCUUUGUGGAA